CUGCUCUGGGUUUAUUUGGGCUGAAACAUAGCCAACUGGACUUAACUUAAGUAGGCUGACGUCGGUAUGUUUUGGGCUCUAUUGGGCCGCGCUUUCUAUUGGGCUGUGAACAGUGGGCCUAUGGCAGGUUGCCUUUCCCUACCAUUUAUUCAAUCUCAAUCAUGACACCGAAUCAAUUGUUUCACAUUUUUAUUUAUCCUACAAAUUUAAUCUAUUCAUUGCUCAUCCAAGAAAAAAAAUGACUGACAAAUAUUAAACCUGAAAAUUUUAAUGGACAUGCCUAAUCAAAACACACAAGUCAACCACAUUAAAGAACAAAAACCUGUUGUUAAUUCUUUCCUAUAGGUGCUAUACAUCAAAAACAGGGUGAGUGAUAUUUUGAAAGGAGAAAGGAGAGGGUGAGUGAUAUUAAUUUUGCAGCUCUAACCACAUCUAAUCAUGGUUGAUUAAUCAUCUCUAUGUUCCAACUCCCUCCCCAGAAGCCAUUUUCAGCUACUUCUUGUUGUUCCCCCUAAACCUGCUCUUCACCACCCUCGUCGCUGUCGUUGUCACCUCCUUCAGCUUCUUUCUGGCUACUCUCUCUGUCUAAAUUCGGGGCUUUGAUCGGCAGAGGCUCAACGUCAUCAGGAGGAUCAUAGUUUGGGUCAGCUAGAAACGUGAGCGCCGUCACCACGUCGCUGAUCAGAGGCCGGCUGCUCGCCUCUUCUUGCAAGCACAUCGAUGAGAUUGCCAGUGCCUGGUACAGCCCUUUCAGUGGGAACUUCAUGUCCAGCAGUGGAUCAGCCAUCUUCACGAACUUCUUCUUGUCCCUGAACAGUGGCGCUGCCUGCAUUUCAGACAUACAGUAUAAGAUCACCAUCUUGAUUCUGAACUGAACGAGAAAUUUUCAUUGACUGAAUUCUGAAUCUCUGAUCUUUUUUUCACGAACACGUCAAUAUAUUAGAAAAAGAGCAGCAUACAACUGUGGCACACUGAGGCGAAUAUAAAGGAAUGUUACCCAGUGAACAAGAAUCUGCUCGCGAGUGGGCUUGGUGGUGUCGAUGGCUCGGCGGCCGGUGAUGAUCUCGAGGAGGACGACGCCGAAGCUGUAGAUGUCGGACAUCUUGGUGAGCUUGCCGGUCAUGGCGUACUCGGGGGCGCAGUAGCCGUACGUGCCCAUCACCCUGGUGGUGACGUGGCUCUUGUCGCCGACGGGGCCCAGCUUCGCCAGCCCGAAAUCCGACAGCUUCGCGUUGAACCCGCCGUCGAGGAGGAUGUUGGACGCCUUGAGAUCCCGGUAGAUCACCGGCGGGUUGGCUAUCUCGUGCAGGUACUCCAUCCCUCUCGCCGCGCCCACCGCGAUCUUCAUCCGCGUGUGCCAUGACAGCGGCGACGAGUUCGGUGUCAGAUCUGCACAAAAAUUCAGAACAAAAAAAAUCAUGAACUUUAGCUCAAACCCGUCUGCAUUUUGCUAUGCAGAUGUAAUGAUAGUUACUAUACCUAGGAGAUGAUCUUGCAAUGAACCGAGUGGCAUGUACUCGUAGACCAGGAUUCUCUGGUCGCACUCGGUGCUGUAACCGAGCAAGGUGACGAGGUUGGGGUGAUGGAGAAGGCUAAGCAUCAGCACCUCGACGAGGAACUCGCGGUUCCCCUGCAAUCCAUCCUUGUCCAGCUGCUUAACCGCUAUGACCUGUAUGAACAUGGACACAAAUUCACAUCAGAUACAUGCUACUGAUGCAUUCAUCAGUCAUCACUGAAUCUUUCAGGGUGUCAGGUUGAUGAAGAGACUGAGGAAGGACAGUUCACAGUUAAAUUCCGUUCAAAAAAAAAAACAGUUCACAGUUAAAUGGUGCUUACUUCCUUGGUGUCUGGGAUGAAUCCUUUGUAGACUCUCCCGAAUCCACCUUCACCAAGCAGGUUUUCCGGGCUGAAAGAGCCGGUUGCAUCGGCCAGCUGACGGAACGUGAAUACUCUGCUUGGAAUGUUGUGGUUGCCGAUCCGUAGUAUCUCUCCUGCCGCUGCCCUGUUCCUGGUACUAUCUGCACGAACAAAGUUUAGGAUCUUGUUAGCUUAUCAGCCGUAACCAAAUUUUAAAUUUCGACACUCCAAUUUUAGAAUUGAUUUUGAAGUUUCUUUUUUCAAUGUAGAUUUUUUUUUCAACCUUACCUAACACAGUUAAUAAUACAAAUAUAAAGGUUUUACUCAUAAAUUAUUUUUAGUUGCUUUCCUUUAUUUUUCUCUGACUUAUAAGUCAUAGCUCAAAGGUGAAACUAGGUCAAGAGCAUGGUAAUUUUCAGAUGAAUUAUACAUAUCACAUUUUCGCCUUUAUAAGAUAUAAAAGGAGAUAUUUUUGCUAUUUCGGCACGAAGAAAUCAGGAAAAGAAAAAAGGGAAGAAAUGGUAGUAUAUUUUAUUACUCUCGAGGGAGAUCUCCUUGACGAGGCUGGCCAAGCCGGUCGGUUGGGUCUUGCCCUUCUUCUUCUUCCAAUUCUUCUUGGUCCCCCACUUGUUCUUCUCCAGCUCCGGGCUCGUCGCGGCGCUCUUCCUCUUCUUCAUCGUCUCCAGCGUCAGCGGCUCCUCCGCCUCCCGCGCGGCCUUGCCGAAGACGCCGCGCACCACCCACUUCCGCUUCUUCCUCUUCUUCGCGUCCGACGCCGCCGUGUCCUGCGCCGACGUCGUCGCCCCCCCGCCGCCGCCGCAGAAGCCGCGGAUCCACGAGCAGCAGCUGGCGCAGCCGCCGCGCACCCAGGAGCAGCAGCAGCACGACCUGCUCGCCGAGCUCAGCAGCCCCAUCGCCGGAUCGACGCGAGAGUGGGCGAGCACCCUCGUGCCGACCCCCGCGCGCCGCCGCCGACGCCGACGACGACGCCGCGGGGUGACGAUCUCCUCCCGCGGCGAGAAGAACACGGCAUGCAAGGCGCUGGAAAAAUAAAAAUGAUGUUCUAUUUUUUUUUCUCUGUGGAUGGGAAUGAGCCUGCCAGACUCUGUUUUUCUCUGGAUUGAUAAAAAUGGAAGGCCUGAAGCCAAGUGCGUCUCUGUGUUUUUAAUGGUUGUUAAUUUUAGCAACACUGUUAUUUCCAUUCCCUAAUUUUUCGCAUUAAAAAUUGGUGUUAGUUUCUUUGCCAUGGUUGAUGGUUAGCCGAGGAUGUUUGCAUGAUAGGGAUUAAAACAUUGGAAAACAGUCUAAACCAUUUCCAUAAUCAUAUUUUUCUCGAAAAUAAAAUCAAAAACAGUAAAAUUGGAAACGAAAACAAUAUCGAAAAUAUUGAAAAAUUGGAAAAAUACGGAAUGAAACAUGACGGUACAUAUUGGAAAACGGUAGCAAAUACAGAAACAUUAAACCAUAAAAACGUAUAUUUAACUUUGCAUAACUAUGUAAUAUAUAUAAAUAAUUCAAAUUUAUACUAUAUAAAUUAUAAAUUAACUCCAUUUUAGACAUGCAUUCAAGUUAUGUAUUUGAUUGAAUGAUCAAUCAAUCUAAAUUGUAGGUCAAGUAGAGACAUACUCUAUAAAUAUAUAAAUAUAUAGACAUAUUUAGAAGUACAACAAUUUUAAUUUUCACAAAAUCACGCUAAAUAUGGAACCAUUUCCAUUUUCAAUAUUAUUUAUUAUUUCUAUUUUCGUUUUGGUCGAUUACCAUUUUCAUAUAACUCGGCCGGCAGAAAGUCAGAAACGAACGCCGAUCGGCCAGAAAUUUCCAUUACCUUUUUCUGUGAUUUUAUAAUCCUUAAGUGUCGCACCCCAAUCUAAUACCGCCGUACAACGGCACCUGACAGGAGCAUGUCAUAGGGAAAACGGCGCGAACCGCUUCCUACGAAACCGCGAUCUCGGUACCAGUCCCAGGACAUAGUGCUGGUACCCACGGUGACAAAUAUGAAUCAUAGCAAUCCUUAAAAUAAAUAGAGGACUUAUUUACCUUAACACCAACAGCAGCAGCAACAGCAGCGGAACCAACGGUCUAACACCCAACACCACAGGCGACGGCUGGGAACCAGGACGAAACCCUAAUCUUCACUUCACUUUAUCUUCUCUUCAGGGCAGAGGAACUAUAUAUAUAUAUAUUUAUAUAGAGCAAGGGUGAGUACUUUCGUACUCAGCAAGUCACGGGAACUUAGGUGGUUAAUGCAAGCUUGGAAGAGAGGCAAGGUUGUUUUGCAAAUCUUUUGUUUGAAAUCAUUUUGAAACCACUAAGUGAUUUAUUUCUUUCUAAGUUUGGGCCGAAAAGAGACUUGCGUCUCGAUUCGACUUUAAGAGAUGUUUUUCAACAGCUCAUUUAGUAAUGUACCGACCUCCCGGGUCAGAUCAUUACUUCUCGGCUCCCAGAGCCAUUCCACUUGAUUAAUCGGCUCCCAGAGCCUUUUUCAUUUUCUCGGACUCCCAGAGUCCAGCUGCCCAGCAGCACAACAAUCCGCUUCCACUCGGGAAGCCUAGUCUAUGAUGCCCGCAGACAUCCCGAAUCACACAGAUUCGUUUCUGACCACUCAGGUCGUCCAUCUGCCACAUAGGCUGAUUCUGGUUACGAUUCCCACACCACAACAACUUUUCACAAAGCACAGGCAAACAAAUCUACGCAACGGGAACCACCUCACAUCCGCCCAUGACCGUGGGCACGGCUGUUCGAACAGUUAGUUAACCUCUGCAGAGGGGUACACUUUAUCCACAAGAUACGAACUUAUUCCGAACACCCGUCGGUAUCGGAGGUUCGCAACAAAGCCUUUCCCAAGCCGACCCAGGGAUACCUCAUGCCACAUAGAAGGAUCAAAUCCUCACAUAAACAUAGGCCAUUUUAGGCGUUCACAAUUCAAACUCCAACCACCUCGAUCGGUAAUUCAGCAAGCUUCUCGUUCUUGCAUUACCAGGAACCCGGUUUGGCUCCAACCGACCCCGCCCCGGCGUUCCCAACUAUUGGCAUGCGAGGUUUCCCUGAACCGACUAGUUACUUAGCCAGGGUGUCCCAUUCCACCUUGUGGUUGCACUUUGAUUAUGUUCGAUGAGUUUCCCACAGGAAUCGGUCCUUAUAUGCGAAUACGGGACAGUGCCACAUAGGCACAACCCCCGCAUCGCGAGUUUUCACAAUUCAUUUUAUUUUCAAACACACCGACACCACAUGUCGGGUUUUGAAGGCUUCACAAACCCAUUUCCCAAGUUUUCGACAAACAACGGUGUAUGUGGGAUAUUUGGUAUACACGCUUAGAGAGCACGAAUACCGAGGUACCACAAGGGUGGAGCGACAAGGAAUCAGGGUAGUACGACCUACGGAAAUUAGUGCGACUACUGGGUAGGUCCGUCGGUUUGUCACGCAAACCGAGGCCAAGCAAGUUAAGUGUGUGAUUCUACUAAUGCAAGUUGAAAACAAAAUAAUAAUGAAUUUCCAAUUAUAGGAGCAAAUGAUCAAAGGGUGACUUUCCUUGCUCAAGGUCUUCACGAAGCUUCACGAAUCUUCGAGAAAUCCCACGAUCGACAAAAAUCCGGUAACCGCAACUAUACGCAAUCAAUCAAAACCUAAACAAAAGACCAAGAAAAGGAUCCUAUUUAGACUAAAUAAUAGUGCCAUUAAAUAGAUCUCAAUUUUACGGGAAUACUGGAAGUGGAACGGGGUUAAUCGGAAUUACGGAUCGGGAGAUAUGAAUUUUGGGAGUUUAAUUGGAAUUUCUGGACAAGGAAAUGAUUUGUCGAAAUUUUUUUUUGAAUGCGGGCAAUGAUUUAUAAAUUUUAUAGAAAAGAAUAUUCUUGAGAAUUGACACGUGGGACCAACAUAUGGUGAGAGAGGUGAAUUGGGAGGGAGCAGAUAUGGACUUUUGGUCACUGCAUUUGGGAAGGGAGCAAAGAUGGACUUUAGCUUUUGGGUGGGGGUACUGGGCUCGGCAUGAGGGAAUAUAACUGGACUUUGGUUGAUUGGACCGGGGGAGCAGCGCAGCCCAACGGCUGGCGAGGCCGAGAGAGGGGGGGGGCUGGCUGACGGGGCGUCAGCUUGACCCGGUCAAGCCCACGUGGACAGCCACGUUGGAUGGAGGAAAGGGAGGGGAGGCCGGGCGGCCGAUCUGACGGCUGGCGGCGAGCGGUGCAUACCGGCGAGCGGCGGCGAACCGGGAGGGGCGGCGUGCACCGGAAGCAAGCGGGGAUCAAGGGGAGCUAAUUCAACGGUGCGGAUGAGGGAGAGGUGGCGCUGCAGCGGCUGGCGAGGCGGGCGGCCGCGGCGGCGCGCCGGGGAGGCUCGAGAGGGCUCGGGGGUGGUGGCGGCGCCGGGAAUCGGCGAGAGACCGGCCGGCGGCGGCGCGCGACGGCGCACGGCGGCGGCGGAAGCAGAGCUACGGCGGGGCGGCACAACACUGAGUGGGGCGUCGCCGGGAAAACAGAGAGGGGGCGCGAGAAAUUACGGGAGGACGACGGCGAGCUGGUUAGACGAGAGAGAAGGGCCGACGACGGCGCGCGACUGCUCGGUGGCGGACGCAGCACCGCGUGUGGUACGAGGAGGAAGAAGGCGGUGAUGCGGAAACAGAGCGCACGGCGAGCUACGCGAGUGCGGGGACGGCGAAAAAGGAAGCUGAGGAGCUCACCGACGGGAGGAACGGUGUCGGCGGCGAAUUGGGGAUGGGAAGGGUUGGAAGGCUGAGGGUGGCACGCGACCGAGCGGCGGCGCACGGCGGAUGACGCCGAGGCGGCGCGGUGUCGAGGCGUGUGCGCCGGGGAAGGAGAGAUGGAGUGCGGCGAUGGGGCGGCGCAGAGCUCCUCGUUGACUCCUCGUGCGCACGUCGGCUUCCCGGCACGCGCGACGGCGGAGGAAGGGCGACAAUGGCGCGGCGGCAGAGGGAAGUAAAACGGGAAGAAAAGAGGGGGAGCUCGGGCUUGGGUUUUAUAGGUGAGGAGGAGAGGUCGGUUUGGAGGAGGGAAACCGACCUUGGCGGUCGAGCGCUCGGCUGGCGCUCGGCGGGCGGUCACGAGCGGGAGCAGCGUUUUCGCGGGCUGCGCGAAACGUGGCGACGGCGAGGAUGCGAAGGGGCGGUGGAGGCGGUGGAUCGUACGGCGGGAAUUGAAUCGCGGGCGCGGGAGCAUCGGCGUGGCGCGGUCAAGGUGGGGGCACAGGCGCGGCAGGACGUUGUCGGCGUCCUCUGCCUCCGCGCGCAAGAAGACAAGGGCGAGAGGAGAGAGGCCGGGUUUAGAAGGGAAAAAGUGAGGGAGGACGGUGGAAAGGGAAGCCUCUCCCUUCCGUUUUGGGCGGCGGGCAGGCGAGGCGCGUGGGAGCGGCGUCCUUGCCGGUCGGCCAUGCGCGCGAGAAUCGGCAGCGUGGCUGGGAUUUUGGGCGGCGUCGGCGGGAGUCAAUGAGAGAGAGAGGGAGAGAGAGAGAGAGAAAGGGUGAGAGAGAGCGAGGAAGAAGGAGAGAGCGAGCGCACACGCGCAACGCACGUGCGAGGGGGAGGAGGAGGAGCGGCUGAGAGGAGAUGGGCCGAGGGAGGCAAAAUAGACUUUUUCGGAGGAGAUUGAUUCGAAGAGAAUUUGAACUUGGAAUUUGACUUAGAUUUUGGAAUUGGGAUCUGGAUGAGAGGAAGGAGUAGACGGAGGAUUCAAGAUGGGGUUUUGGAUAUUUUGGAUCCGGGGAAGUAUUUUGGCGAUGAUUCAAAGAGAGGGAUAGAAUUUCAGAGUUUGAUUUGGAGACUUGAGUCGGAAGAGGAAUUUCGAGGAGGCAAUUUUUGAUGGUGACGAGAGGGAUCAAGGACGGAUUUGAAUUGAGAUCUUGGCACAACUUAGACUCGCAUACAAAGAACGGAAAUUUUCGCAUAUAAGAUUUUGCCGAAUUAGUUUUUAACGUCUCACGAAAAGCGGAGCGUUACAUUAAGGUACUAGGAAGUACCAUAUUUUCUAGUAUAAAAUUUGAUAUCUCUCAAUAUUAUUUCCAGUAAUAGGAGAUAUCAAAUUUACAUUAAAAAUGUUGGUGCCCGUUGCUACCUCUUAACGCCGGUAAAAUUUCUCUUUGUUUUUUUUUUUUGUCAAGGUUCUGAUUUUGAUAAUUGUCAAGAACUAUUAUCCAGGGAUUAUUGCAGUAGUAUUGAAGAAUAAAAUUGUCCAGAACGCACAAAAUCAUAUAUAGUACUUUAUCACCAGCUAUUUUGUUUUCAAAACAUUUCAUUAUUCAUUAUUUGUUUUGAUCACUAUCUCGUUGCAUGCAACACAGCAACGGUGUGAUCCUACUAGCUAUGAGGCAAGCCAGCUAAGCCUAGUACUGGCCGGCGGCGAAGAUGCUGCACUGCUGGGGCUCAACCCGGCACAUCGACGGCAGCUGCGCCGCGUACUGCCUCGCCCUGGUCAGCCUCACGCGGGUCAUCCCCGGCUGCUGCUGCUGCUCGCCGUAGUAGCCCUCCUCCGACGACCCCUCGCCGUAGUACCCCUGCUCCGACGACGACCCCUCGCCGCCGUAGUACUCCGACGACGACGACGACCAGCCUUGCUCCAGGGGCAUCGGCAUGCUCUCCUCGUAGCUCCUCACCAUCCGGCGGAUGGCGGCGCAGCGGCACUCGCGGCUCACGUCCUGCAGCUGCUGGCAGCACUGCAUCCGCAGGCCGAGCGCGCCCGGGCGGCGGAACAUCGGCUGGAACCUCUCCCGGCCGGUGAGCUGCCGGUCGAGCACCUGCCGGCACGCGUCCAGCGGGCUGUCCUGCACCUCCCGCUGGCACUGCCUGUCCCUGAACCUCAUCUCCGACUCGCUCAGCUGCGCGCCGGAGAUGGCCACCAUGGCCGCCAUGAGCGCCGCCGCGAAGAAGACGACCUUGCUAGCCAUUGAUGAUCAAUCAGACAAUCACUAGAAGUGUAUAUGUUUUUUUUCCUCUUUUGUUUGUUGGUGAUGAACUGAUGAUGAGAUGAUGGCGAUCGGAUGGGGUUUUAUAGGGUUUUUGUGGCCAUGGUUGUGUGCACGGUGAGCUUCGUGUAGAUCAAGUAGAAGCUUGAGGGUGACAUGGAUCGGUUGGAAAAAGAGCAAGAGUACAAUGCUGCAAAGAGUGAAAAAGGUUUCCAAGAUUUGGAGCUUGCAAAAAGAUUUUUUUUUAUUUUUCUCUUGGUGUUGGGUAAUUUCUGAAGUUAUGUAUGUGGCAGAUAACACUUUUGUGUCACCUAUUUUUGUCAUAAAGAGCGGCUUUACGUUUGCCUCUGAUAAAAGAUUAAUGGAUGUAUCUACACUAAUGAGAUUGUCCUAGGGAUAACUCUUAGCUCUUUGUGACGUGGUGGAAAUGUGCAGAAAAUGUGUGUAACUGCGCAUGUUGCUUGUUGGUAGUAGUUUUGUACUUUUAUGGGUGACUGAAAGAAGGCAAUUAUCUAUUUUAAAAAGGCCCUUUAAUUUGAGGAGGAUUGGAAGCCCACGGUAUAUAUGGCUCACAGAAUAUUUUGAAAUGGAAUAAGUUCAUUUAAGGUCCCUUAACUUGUCAACAAAUUUGAUUUUCGUCCUUCAAUCGAAAAACCAGAUACAACGGGUCCCUCAACUAUCAAAACCAGUGCAGAUGAGGUCCCUCGGCGGUUUGGAUGGUGGUUUUGGCUGACGUGGCGCUUACGUGGCUAAUUUGACUCGGUCUUCAUCUGACGUAGCAUUGACGUAGCGCUUACGUGGCAAUUCGAUCCGAAAAAUAAUAAAUCUCAUGGGACCCACAUGUCAGUUUCAACAAAAGAAUGAAUUAAAAAAUGGUGGGGCCCACAUGGCCCCACAUAUCAUUGUCACCCCUCCUCUUCUUCCUCCUCUCUCACCAUCUCUCCCCUCUCCUCCCUCCAGGCGCCACGGGGCCACGGGGAGGUCCGGCGGCGGCGGCCGGCGACGUGGGAGAAGGGCAGUGGGCAGGGCGUCGGCGGCGGGAGCGCUGGGUCUUCGCUCACGGCGUCGGCGCGGACCCCGCGCGGGGGCUCGUGGAGGAGAUCGGGGCCGCGGCGCGCCGCCCGUCUCCGACGAGCUAGAGCUCGUGCGAGCGCAGUGCCGGGAGCUGCACGACUGCCGACGAGAAGCAGAGGAGGUUCGAGGUGUACAGGAGCAACGUUGAGCUUGUUGAGAAGUUCAACUCCAUGUGCAAUGGCUACAAGCUGGCUGACAAGAAGUACGUUCGCCGACCUGACGAACGAGGAGUUCAGAGCCAAGAUGCUGGGGUUCAGACCUCAUGUCGCAAUUCCUCAGAGCAAUGCCUGGAGAGAGCAGUGAUGAUAUUCUGCCGAAGAGCGUAGAUUGGAGGAAGAAAGGAGCAGUGGUGGAAGUGAAGUACCAAGAAGAUUGUGGUGUGUGAGCAAUAGCAUGGUAAAGAAAGAUUCAAACCUGUAAAAAUGUUGGAGAUUAAUCGAUGGAAAUCUGGGUGUUGUGUGGAUGCAGGUUCUUGCUGGGCGUUCUCCGCCGUGGCGGCGAUAGAGGGGAUCAACAAGAACGGUGAGCUGGUGUCGCUGUCGGAGCAGGAGCUCGUAGACUGCGACGACGAGGCCGUGGGGUGCGGCGGGUACAUGAGCUGUUCGAGUUCAUCGUCGGCAACCACGGCCUCACCAGUCACCACGGAGGCGAGCUAGCCGUACCACGCCGCGAACAGCGCGUGCCAAGCGGCGAAGCUGAACCAGAGCGCGGUCAGCAUCGCGGGCUACCGGAACGUGACACCAGCAGCGAGCCCGACCUGGCGAGGGCUGUGGCGACGCAGCCGGUGUCCGUCACCGUCGACGCCGGCAACUUCAUGUUCCAGCUCUACGGCAGCGGUGUCUACACAGGGCCGUGCACCGCCGUCCGCCGACGUCAACCACGGCGUCAUCGUGGUGGGCUACGGCGAGUCCCCCAACACUCCCGCCACUGACGGCCCGCCCUUCCCCCGCGUCGUCGGCCGCCGCCGCCAGACCUCCCCGUGACCCCGUGGCGCUGGAGAGAGGAGAGGGGAGAGAUGGGGAAAGAGGAGGUGUGAGAAUGCUACCCACCAUUUUUUAAUUCAUUCAAACUGACAUGUGGGUCCCAUGAGAUUUAUUAUUUUUCGGAUCGAAUUGCCACGUCAAUGCUACGUCAGAUGAAGACCGAGUCAAAUUAGCCACGUAAGCGCCACGUCAGCCAAAACCGCCAUCCAAACCGUCGAGGGACCUCAUCUGCACUGGUUUUGAUAGUUGAGGGACCCGUUGUAUCUGGUUUUCGGUUGAAGGACGAAAAUCGGAUUCGUUGACAAGUUAAGGGACCUCAGAUGAACUUAUUCCUUUUGAAAUCUGGAUCAAAAUGUAGACUUCCUGGUAGCCCCAACAUUACCGCUAUGGGCCACGGAUGGGCCUACUGUUUGGGCCCAAUUGGGUCUAAUAUUCAGGCCCAACCGCCCAAGAGCAACGUCCAUGUUGGGCCGGUUUAAUGGUCACAUCUGCCUUCAGACUGCUAGCAAUCGGCCUGGUUAACCGGUUUAACUUCCAUUUUUUUAAAAAAAAAAAAAUCCUCGUCAACUAAAAAAAAAGUGACUCGUCCCAGCCUCGUGAAGUAUUACCAGUUCAUACUUUGGCUGUGCUAAUCAUUGGCAACUCCGAAGGUGAAAUCUCGUUGUCAAAUGACAAAAGUGAUUUAAGUGAUCAAUCAUUCUACUCGUGUGUGCAGGCAGCUAGCAGAAGGCCACCGGCCACAUGCACUGAUGCACCAUCCAGUUUCUUUAAUUCUUAGCAUCUCUCCAAGCAGCCUGCAGUUAGCAGAGUGUACUGGGGACAAAAGAAUCGGAGUUAGAUAGCACAGGUUAAUUAGCUUCCAGAAACUGGAAAAAAGAAACGGAGCAAGUAAGCUAGCUAGCUAACUAAAACAGUUCAGUUCACUGAGAUGAUGAGUCGCCAUUGCUGCUGUUUCUGAACUGUCUAGUGUCUACUAGUUGCCCAUGUGGCCAUGAGAGAUGAGCCCCCCGAUGAAAGCUGGUGUUUGUUUCUGCUUCUGCCUACCUGCUAUGCCUUUUCUGAACAAAAUGAUACCACUUCAACUACCUAACAGUGUGUCCACUGGUCCAUCCAUCUACGAGUUGUUGCAGGCUUAGCCGGCGACCCGGCGUCUCUCGUGCGUGCGGAUGAUUGAUCAAUUCCAGCGCGGCGACGCCGACGCCGCCGCCGGAUGUUCGAUCGAUCGCUUCUCAUAUCAUCGUGUAUUCGUGGUGAUCGCUGAUCAGAGCUCUCUUUCCUGUUAGUUGCACAUGUGCAUUCCGGCUCUGACGACUCAAAAUGCAUCGUCAGCUGCUUUGAGUUUUCAGUUUGUUCGUUUCUCCUUUUUGUUGGUGACUGGUCGUCUCGCUUGAUUCAACCUAGCUAGCUAUAGCUUUCAGGUGUAAACUUGAGCUGGAUCGGAGCACUCUCUGAUUGGAUUUUCAGCUCGCCGGUUCACUGUGUUCAUUUAUUUCAGGAUUUGAAAAAAAGGGGAUAGUUAGCUAGGAAUGGCUCAGCUGACGGACAACGUGUUGUGGACUCAUCGAUCAGGCCUGUCGCGUGCAAUGAACGAUACGUAAGUUAAUUCAGUACAUAAGCGUAGAGUUUGUACUUUUUGCCUACUACUACUUCGGUUCUGCUCAUGAUUCAGGGUUCAGGACAUCGUCUGGAUUUCUACAUUCAAACAGGCAAAUAUAACCAGUACUUAGUGUAGACGGAUUCUAAUCACCCAGUGGACAUUCACUUGUUUAUUAUAUGUCAACUAAAUAGUUAUAAAAAAUUUUUAAUUUUUUUUGACAAGAUAGAUUAAUAUGUAAUAUAUCAUUCCACAAACAUGCAAGUUGAAAUUUAAUUUCUAUAAGUCGUAACAAAAACAACAAAUUUAACUGCAAAUAUACAUAUACUAAUUUGAGUUUUAUUUGUUAUUUUUCUUUUACAAUUUGUAGAAGUUAAAUUUUAAGUUGCAUGUUACGUUUGUGGAGUGAUAUAUUACAUAUUGAUUUAUCUUACCAAUUUUUUCAUAAUUAUUUAGAUGACAUGCAUUAAACAGUGCACAUCCAUUCGGGUGAUUAAAAGAGUUUCCCCAUAAUAAUCCUAACUCUCGUUCUAGAACCCAAAUAUUAAACUUAUAGCAUAUUUGUCAUUUUUCACUCCUUAAAUGGAUGUUCCCUCGUUUCUCGCAUGCUAUCUAAAUAGUUAUAUUUUUUAAAUAAUAAUAAUAAUAAUAAUAAUAAUAAUAAUAAUAAUAAUAUAGAUCAAUAUGUAUAUCAUUCUACAACAUGUAGGUUUAAGUUCAAGUCAUUUUUUUCAUAAUUGUUUAUACGAUAUAAAUAAAACAAGGGGACAUCUGAACAAAAGAGAACUAUCUCAGAAGAAAGCAGCAUUUUUUUUAACUCCCAUUCUAGUACUGAAUCUUGAACCCAAAUAGGUAAAGAGGUUAAACGGCACAUUUGCCAUUUUUUUACUACAUUUUCACAUAACUAACUUAUCAGAAGCGCAGGAUGGUACAUGUUCUCCCUCCGUUUCAAAAUAUUUGACACCGUUGACUUUUUAGCACAUAUUUGACCGUUCAUCUUAUUUAAAAAUUUUUGUGAAAUAUGUAAAACUAUUUGUGUACAUGAAAGUAUAUUUAACAAUAAAUCAAAUGAUGUGAAAAGAAUAAAUAAUUACUUUAAUUUUUUGAAUAAAACGAAUGAUUAAACACGUACUAAAAAGUCAACUGUAUCAAACAUUUUAAAACGGAGAGAGUAGUUAAUUAAGGUGUGAAAUGGUAUUGUUUCCUCGGGCAUUAAUCUUUGUCAGUUGCUACAGCCUGCAACAGUGCACAUGGCUUGAACCGAUGGUUACAGGCCACAGAAAAAAAAAAGGGAAUCCACAGUACUUUGUCUGAUCAUCACCUCUAAAGUUAAUCAACAUGACAGCAUGUGGAUAAUCUCCCACGUCCUCUCAGUUGCGGUUCAGAAGUUCACAGCGAGAAAUAAAUUACUCUUCAAAUUGACCAACUUUGCUUUAGAUUCCAUGCAAAGCACACGCCUACAGGAUCGAUCAAGCAGCAGAGACAUCUCGCACUGAUUUUGUCAGUACAACGUACAAAAAUACGUUCUCGAUCGACGAAUUCUUCUCCUCAUCUCUUUCGCUGCUGCUGCUGGCCUGCUGCUAACAACCAGUAGGUGCUGCAUUCUUGACUCCUGCCCGGCGCCCGCGAUGAUCAGAACUCCACAACCAACUGUUUCCGUAGCCGAUUUUAAAAAAGUUUUUGCAGUACAAUUGGUACUUCGUUCUUGGAUGGCAAUUAGUAUCUGAAUGCGUACCUGCUACAAGAAAGAUUCGGCAAAGCGAAAACAAGAACAGCUCAUUGUGCCAUUUGCAUAAUUUGCAUGCGUGAUUCUUCAGAAAGUGCAGCUAGCAGGUAGCUAAGCCAGCCUACCACAUGGGGGAAUAGGGACAGGAUGGGCCAGGACGGCGCCGCGCUAUAAAUCUCGCGCCAAUUCUUGCCCGCAAAUUCAGCAGCAGCAGCUACCAGCAACAAGCAUUCUCUUCUAGCCUUAGCCUAGCUAGCUAGCUUUGUUGUCUAGCUCUGAUCGAGGUUGGUGGUGAUCAUGGCGUCGUCGAGGGUGAUCCUAGCGCUGCUGCUCGCGGCGGCGGCGGUGAUGGCGUCGUCGGCGCAGCUGGACGAGAAGUUCUACAGCAAUUCGUGCCCCAGCGUGGAGGCCGUCGUCCGGAAGGAGAUGGUGCGCGCGCUCGGCGCCGCGCCCAGCCUCGCCGGCCCGCUCCUCAGGAUGCACUUCCACGACUGCUUCGUCAGGGUAAGCUGUGCAUGCAGUGUCCAUUCUCCAUUGCGUCGCGGCUGCUGGUGUAUAGUAGUAGUGUUCGAUCAGGUCGCCUGACAACCUCGUCGCCGGCCGGCGUCGACUGUCUGUGCAUGCAGGGUUGCGACGGCUCGGUGCUGCUCGACUCGGCCGGGAACAGCACGGCGGAGAAGGACGCGACGCCGAACCAGACGCUGCGCGGGUUCGGCUUCGUCGAGAGGGUGAAGGCCGCCGUGGAGAAGGCAUGCCCGGGCACCGUCUCCUGCGCCGACGUGCUCGCGCUCAUGGCCAGGGACGCCGUGUGGCUGGUGAGUAGAGUAUAGUACACUGCAAUGCACGCAUGACACGUGUACUCUGACACAGUUUGCAGAAGCAAAAAGUUCUCACCUCGACUUGUCGUCGUCGUUGUCUUCUCUUCCAGAGCAAGGGCCCGUUCUGGGCGGUGCCUCUCGGCCGCCGCGACGGCAGGGUGUCCAUCGCCAACGAGACCGACCAGCUGCCGCCUCCCACCGCCAACUUCACCGAGCUCACCCAGAUGUUCGCCGCCAAGAACCUCGACCUCAAGGACCUCGUCGUCCUCUCCGGUAACCAUCACCAUUGCCACCACACAAACUCUCUUCACACACGUACACACAUCCAUCCAUGGUGUCUGACACGAUCCAUUGUCGAUGUUGAUCAGCUGGGCACACGAUCGGGACGUCGCACUGCUUCUCCUUCACUGACAGGCUGUACAACUUCACCGGCCUGGACAACGCCCACGACAUCGACCCGACGCUGGAGCUGCAGUACAUGGCGAGGCUGAGGAGCAAGUGCACGAGCCUCCAAGACAACACGACGCUGGUGGAGAUGGACCCGGGGAGCUUCAAGACGUUCGACCUGGGGUACUUCAAGAACGUGGCCAAGCGGCGGGGGCUCUUCCACUCCGACGGCGAGCUGCUCACCAACGGCUUCACCCGCGCCUACGUGCAGCGCCACGCCGGCGGCGGCUACAAGGACGAGUUCUUCGCCGACUUCGCCGCCUCCAUGGUCAAGAUGGGCGGCGUCGAAGUGCUCACCGGCAGCCAGGGCGAGAUCAGGAAGAAGUGCAACGUGGUUAACUAAUCAUCUCUCUUAAUUAUCGUCAUAUAUCAUCAGCUGCUCGCCGAGACUGUGAUUAUGGAUUUCAGCUUUUGAUUCCGGCCGUGACCAUCUUAUAAUUAAUUUCCAUGUAGAUCAUUAUCGUAAGAUUUACCUGUCCCUUCUUUUUUUUUCUUGAUUUCAAUCACUUCAUUAAUUAAUUGUUUUGUUUAUAUAGCGAGCCAUGCAUGUAUGUAACAAAGUUUUCUCCAAGUACGUGCUCAUCAUGAUCAUAUGAAUAAACUUCAUUUUUUUUCACCUUGCAUUAUUAUACAUUUAUUAUUUUUUAUCACUCAUUGGUGCCUCUAUCUCUUUGUCAGACAGUUACUCAGUUAUGAUGCCACUGUCGUCAUUUUAACAUGAAAACUAGUAAACCAAAAUGAGUCAUUACUAAAGCUGUAACACACAGCAACGCAUCACAUGGGUUGCACAUCUGAUCAUUCGCAACUGACAACUAUAAUUGGAGGAACAAUCUGGUCAAGAAUGGACUCAUCUAUCAUGCGUGCCAUGACAAGUGUUCCAGGGCAAUUUGAUAAUUGAUAUGCUGUUCAGUACUGUCAGCAGAGUCCCACAAACCUCUCUGGCGCCCUGCAUUUUGUUAACCCCAUUGUGCCUGCAGCUCUCUGGCCUGAAUGUCUGUCCAAACUGAACGACAGAAACAUUUCUUAAGUAGCUUUGGUCACAUGGCAUGCACUUACGAAAAUGCAAUUGAUUAUUGCUGAUCAUGAUGGCAUCUAUGACACCAAAUCAAAUUAAGGCCGGUACGAACAUUGGCUAUUAUUAUACGCGACCGGCCUGUAUAGUAUGAGAUGGGUACUGAUCAGUCCUGACACCCUGAGUGCUAUCUGCGAUCUAUAUUUCCGUAUUGUAACUUCAUCAAGCAGUUAAUAAUUCGGCAAAUUUAGCAUCUCCCACGUUUAACUGAGCACUGGCACACGAACCUACACAUAUGCCAUUUACGCGGGCCGACCUAUUCAAAGGAGGUAUCAAAAUUUAUAAUUAUAAAAAAAAUUAUAUCUCUCGAUAUCUCUCUGGGACAGUAAAUUUUUUUCGAAAUGAUUUAUAUACGCAUGUUCAAGGGUCCUUACUUUUAUGCUCGGCUGCUCAGGGACCUUGAAAUUGGAAGAAUUAAUCUUAACAACAGAUUAGAACGACAAAACCGUUGAUGGAAGAGCUGCUAACGUGUUGUAAACCAAUACGCUUAUUAGUGGAUCAUUGGAUCUGUUCCUUGUUUUUCGCACAACAGUAGAGGCGUAAGAAGAUGUAGAACACAUAUGUCCUUUUACUUGUCCUCGAGAAUAUUGCAGAAAUAGACAAUUGACAUAGAGAUAUAGAAUAGAACUCUCUCUUAUUAGAUUUGUUCUCAAGACUAUCUAAAAAAUUGCUGGAAAAAACUUUCAAAUCUAACUAUAGUAUAAUUAUAAUAUAAUUUCCACUAUAACUAUAGUAUGACAUGUAUAUAAGUAUUAAAAUAAUAUAUGCAACUUUAUAUCUAACUUAUAUAGAGAUUACAAUAUAGUUACACUAUAGUUAUAAUAUUACACUACAACUAUACUAUAGUUACAUUUAAAAGUUUUUUUGCCCAAAAAACUUGGGACGGUUUUUUAGCAAUUCCGUUUGUUCUCGUGUACAAUCAACCAUCAAUGUCUCAUCCUACUCUCUACAUAUAAUAUACAAGGGUCUUAAUAGGAGAUAAAUAUUACUAUCUUUACUCGGCUUUAAAUUGGUCCAGAAGAAACGAACUUUAUCUCCACAGGAGAUAUUAUUUUCCAACUUUGAACACACACCUUUCAACAUAAAAUCCCCACUUGAGCUAACUAGCUUGUCCAUCUAGGCCCAAUAUGGUUGGGCCUGGGUGACCCAAUUCGGCCUGUCUCUCCCAACUAAAAGAAACGUACGGCCUCAUCUGAUACAACCCAACUCCUCAAAGGCCCCAACGCUUUCCCUCGCGAAAACGCCGCGCCACCGAACACCAGCAGCAAGACGCGUCCGCGAACGCGCGCCCUGGGCCGAACGGUUGCCGCACUACAGAAUUUUUUUCGGUUUUAGAUCUUUUGGCCGUACUUUUUUUCAUCUGGGUCCCUUGCCGUCCUCUAUUAGGGCGGCAAGGGAUCCAGAUGAAAAAGUACGGCCGCAAGCUCUUUAUGGGCGGCCAAAAUUGUAAUUAGCCCCUUGCCGCCCUCUGUAUGGGCGGUAAGGGCCUAAUCGCAAUUUUGGCCGACGGCGGCAGACGGCGCGGUCGACCCACCGUCUGCCACGUCAGCUUGCCGCCCACCAUUAGGGCGGCAGGGGCUAUUUCUACAAUUUUUUUGGUCGAUAGAUUAUUCCUGUAAAUAUUAAAAAAAAUCUAAAAACGAAAAAAAUUCUUCCCGCACUACACUGCACUCCGGCGCGCGCACCAACCAACCAACCAACCAACCAACCAACCAACCAAGCCUCCCAACUCCAUGAGCAAGUUGCAGCAGCCGCAGGCCACAGGCUCGAGCUUACUAGCUAGGCGGAGUAGAGUCCGUCGCACUCAACGCUCUGUUUCACACACGCACGCACCCAUCUGAAAGCACGGCGCGACCAAACGCAUCGACCUUUGGUUUGCCCGCGUCUCGUCGCCAUCUUUGUACUACGCCAAUGGCUCUCCGCUGCCUAGCUGCUGCCGCAGUACAGCUUGAUCGUUGCCCGUAACCUCCCGUGGCUCCGAUCCCGUCUCCGGCGCGGCGCGCGGCUCGGCGUUGAGACAGUUUGCCGCCUCAUGUCCCGGGAGCUGGAGCUGCUGCUGUUUUUGCUGGCCCUACGGGCGAGCGGCGAGGUCGUCGCGGGUUCGGCGGAGGCAGCGGCAGCGGCAGCGGCGUGGCCCGCGCUGCAGGUGGGGUUCUACCAUGCCAAGUGCCCUGUCGCGGAGGACGUCGUGCUGGGCGAGAUGAGGAUGAUCCUCGAGGAGGAUCCCACGCUCGCGCCGUCUCUGCUCCGGAUGCACUACCACGACUGCUUCGUCCAGGUAAUUAACAAUUUUUAAUUGCCCCAAGCUACUUCAUGCUCGUCCAUGGCGAUCAUCGUGGUUGGGUUGGUUGCAGGGGUGUGACGGAUCGAUCAUGCUGAGGUCGAGGAGCGGGAAGGGGGAGAGGGACGCGACGCCCAACCGGAGCAUGCGGGGCUACGACGCCAUCAAUCGGAUCAAGGCGAGGCUGGAGACCGUCUGCCCGCUCACCGUCUCCUGCGCCGACAUCAUCGCCAUGGCGGCGAGAGACGCCGUCUACCUGGUACGCGCCUCACGGAACAAAUCCAUGGCUUCUUUGCAAAUCGAUAUCGCGCUCUGCUUCUGAAUGCUCCUUGAUUCGCACAGAGCAAGGGGCCGUGGUACGACGUGGAGACCGGGAGGAGGGACGGCGACGUGAGCGUGGCCGAGUACGCCGAGAACGACCUGGCGCCGCCGGACUCCAACAUCGUCGACGUCAAGACCUUCUUCAGCGUCAAGUCUCUCAACGCCAAGGACAUCGCCGUGCUCUUCGGUACGUAUACUACCACGCCGUCUCCUUUUCCCCUUUUGCUUCUCGCGUUGGACGACGGCGACAGCUUAUCAGAACGCCGGUAAUGGCCAUUGGCCGCCGCCGGCGGCGGCGGCGGCGUCGUGCAGGAUGCCACAGCAUCGGGACGUCGCACUGCGGGGCGUUCCAGAAGCGGCUGUACAACUUCACCGGAAGGAUGGACCAGGACCCGUCGCUGGACGCCGGCUACGCGGCGAAGCUCAAGAAGCUCUGCCCGCCGGGGCACGGCCACGACCACGACCACGACGGCCAUGGCGGCGCCGGCGGCGCGGCCAAGGUGCCCAUGGACCCCGGCAGCGGCUUCACAUUCGACCUGAGCUACUACCGGCACGUGCUCGCCACGGGCGGCCUGUUCCAGUCGGACGGCAGCCUCCGCGACGACCCCGUCACGAGGGGCUACGUCGAGAAGCUCGCCAACGCGUCGUCGUCGGAGGAGUACUUCGCCGACUUCGCGGCGGCGAUGGUCAAGAUGGGCCGCACCGACGUGCUCACCGGCGAUCUCGGGGCGGUCAGGCCGACGUGUGACAGCCUCGUCGACUAGUUUAUUCGGCGUCCCGCCACAUUUGUGAUCUGUAGAAUUUUAUAUGGUUUUCUCUGUAACAUAUAUGUAAUUUCGAUUUAGAUUAGGGAAAGGUUGAGACUUGAGAGAAGUUGCAGUUUCUACGCUUUUGAGGAGACUGAUUGGAACAGCGUAUGAAUCUAGAGUUAAACACUUGUCAGUUGUCAAACUACUACAAACUAAUGAAUCUGUACAGAUGGGCUUGAUGACGAACCUUGCAGGGUGUAGGUUGGUUAUUCAGCUGUUCUUCGUAGUAGCAUUGUUAGUUUGGUGAAUCCACCGUUUGGUCAACCAUAAGUUGGUCACCAAAUCUGACCAGAUUGUAUAGAUUACUUAGGAACAAAGACUGCAUCAACCUUAUGCAAGCUAACCUAUGUGAAAAAAUAAGCACGGAAUGCUUUUGCUAGUUAGAAGUCUCUUUCAUGAGCAGCUCUGUUGCUCACUGCUUCAAGCUUAAGUACAAUGCCAGGAUGCAGAAUAUAGAAGUAGCGCCCUUCUGUAAGGGAAGGAGAAAAAACAUAGCAUUGGAAGCAGACAAAUUUCAAAAUUCAGUAUAUUUGUCCUUUCAUUUGUUUUGACUUCAGUAUCGGAAAAUUGCAUCUAUUUGUAAAUUUAAAUUUAUUUGCAAAAGGUAAAUACAAUGUUAGGCAUUAUGGCAGGAUGAACAGAGAAUUAAUGGAUUGACACUGUUAUUUUCUACUCCAUAUGUAGAUUCCGGUUGCUAUUACUACACCACCUAAUGCUCCAAUGGAUGCCAAAAUUUUCAUCUUUGAAGCACCUUGCUUAGUCACUGGUAAUACCAGUAAACUUUCUAUCUGCAGGAAAAGUUGAAAAAAUGGUGCAUAUAAAAUUAAAACCUGCAGAACUUUUCUGUUGAAUAACUACCUAGAUGGAUGAUGGAUUUCCUAUUGGUACGAAGCAUAUCACUGUUUAAAAAUAUCUAACCUCGAUUGGUUGUUCCCAAUUUUUCUUUAUUCCAGAAACAUGCCCUUUUCCUACAACUGCCACCACCGAGGAAUGUUCCUUUGCUACCUUCAAUAAUUUGGAGGACAUAUACCUGCAAACACAAUUUCAAUAAUUCAAGCACAAAAGAUUGUGGUGGUAAUCGAGAAUAUCAACACAAACUUUUUUAAGUAACUCACAUAUCACGUUCAUGUAGGAGUGUCUCCAUCAAGGUAGGAAAUGCCUUACUCAUCUCUUGAAUAACAAGUGUUAGCAUGUCAACAUCCUCCAUGUCCUUCAGCUGUAUAGACAAGCAUUGUCAUUGCUAUGCAAAUGGAGUAAAGUCUGGUUAAUUGUCUAUCUAUACUAAAGUCUAGAAAGUAUAUUGAGUUAUAUGAAAUCACACACUAGAACUGUACAUUUCAAGUCAUCCAGGAAGACAUCAUACCAUUUUAUUAAGUUCCUCCGGGCUUGGUAAAAAUAUGGACUGGAAAACAAUGUAGUACAAAAACUUUGCCCUGUGCCAUAAUGACAUUCUCCCCCAAGUCCUUCUCAAAGUGAUCUUCGAAACAGAUAAAGACGAUGAUAAGAUGGCACCACUGCUAAUGAAAUAUAAGUACUGACCAAACUAUUGUUUAUUCUGUAGAAAGUUCUAACGAUAUCAAGAUUCAUAUUCUAUUAAUCAAAUCUUCUAUAUGAUAGAGAUCAUUGUAACAAGAUAUGGAGUACAUCUCAACUUUUGAGUUAAAUAACAAAAUAUCUAACCUCAUUAGUCCAUAUCAUAUAGCAAAAGAUUAAGACGCAAGCAAACAGUGGCAACUAUCUUUUAUUCCAUCCAAUCAGCCAGAUGUGAUGAACAUUUGAAAAAUAUGUAGUUUUUUUCCAGAUGUCAUGUCAAAAGAUGCACCAUUAUGAUAAAAAUAUCUCAUCACAAUUCAAAAUAAUGACAAGUGAAAAAGUCAAUAGCAUGAAUACGUGGUUGCUUAACUUGAGGUAACAUAAUAAACUGUUAUCAUUUGUUUGUACUAGGUUCACAAAAAAAUCCACACUAAAAGUUUAUCACAUUUAUCCACGUAUGAACCUUAAAUUGGCACAGCCAGUCAGCUGUUAUGAAUAUCCUCUCCCUUCUUCUUCUUGCAUCUAUCUAUAACCUGUAUGGAGGUUAUAGACAACCAAAUUCAACCACUAGAUAAGUAGGUUGCAUACCUGGACAGGGCGAUCUCCAAGGAUAACUUUGCCGCCAUAACUCAUUGCUUCCUCAAAUGCCACUCGGAAUUCGGCCCCAGGUAACACAUCAAGUUGGCUAGCAACCUUGGAUGCCAAAAACAUAGCCCACCAUGUAAAUUUUUUUUAAAAAAAAACUUACCUAACAAUAAGUACGAACUGCAAAACAAGCAUCAAGGCAUACCUUUGCAAGAAACCAGCUGUAGAGUAUUCCAAAAGUGUUCAUCUUCUUUUUCUUCCACAUGUCAAUCAUUUCGUUCAUGGUAGGAACCUAUGAUGAUAACAGAAUGAUAAAACAAGUUAACUACGAGUAGAUAUAACAUCUCGAACACUUAUGUCAAUGAUGGCUGCAAACCAUUAAUAAGGCUAAAGUCUGUUGCUACACACUAGCAUAGUGCUAUAAGUUAUAUGCACUUAAUCAAAUACUGAUAGAAGGCAUGUCAGCACUGGCUCCUAUUUAUGAUUGAUCAGAUAGUCUUUGGCAUGGCCAUCCAUGCCAAUUGCCAAUACGAAAAUGCAAUACAAUGCCACUGCCAUAAUUCCAACUUCUAAUUCUCUCGCGUAAAUAAAUCUUAACCAGUGUUGUAAGAGAUAUAUCCACAAGAGAUAUCUUUUCCCAGUUGAGCUUAAUUCCAUGAAGUAUAGAACCACAUUAUCACUCUAAAUAGUUUGUAUUCACUAUUUGAGGGAAGAUAACAGACAAAAUUCAGACGACAAUAGACUUCAGCACUCUCAUAGUGUAUUCUCAUGGUUCAUAAUUCAUUCAGUUUUUACAUGUACAAUAACCUCAAACAAAAAAAAGAGGAAAGUGUUCCCUUCCUCGUGCAAUGUACAUAGGUAACAAACAUGACAACCCAAAAUGAAGUAAAUUCUGCAUGAUCAUACCUGAAGGUUUUGUGGUGUCAGAAUGGCGACUCUGCUGGCACAGAGCUCCAAGAAAACAGCCUACAUUUGUUAAAGAGGUGUUAAAAUAAUUAGUAUAAGGUGUUCCGGAUCAAUUAUCAAUAAGCACUCCACAAGAAGGCAGCCAACCUGCCAAAUGAUUCACCAACUGGUAAAUUAUCGGUGAUGAGUAAAAAGAGGAAGAACCUGAGGUUUCAGGUAGUCGAUGACGGCUUUUACUUGGUCACAUGAUUCCUACAAAGUGAAUCAACAUACGAAUAUUCAAUCCACAGUAUAAUCAUAGUAAGCGCGACUUUGAUGCAUAUAAGUUGAAAGUACAGGACACAACAACAGUUAACUAAAUUUGCAUCGGUCAUAGCGCUACCACUACCACUACAAAUACACGUCUAUAUAAAUUACUAUAAAGGAAAAAAGGGUAGUCUUUUGUUGGUACAGUUCGUGUUCAUGAGGAUUUUACGAGCCUGUUUGGCACAGCUUCAGCUUCAGCUCCACCUCUCUUCUAGAGUUGGAGCUCAGCCAAACAGUUUUAGUUCCACCUAAAAUGGGAGCGGGGCUAGGUGGAGCGCUCUCACAAAAUGAACUAGAGAUGUAGAACCUGGUUUAGGCAGCUCCACAACUCUACUCCAGACCCAACUCCUGGAGUUAAAUUUAUGAGUUGGAGCUCUACCAAACAGGCCCUACAUGUUUGCUGUGUUUCGCUCUCCAGUUUUUUCUUUUUUUUCACUGGUAAUCUCAACCCUGCAAGUUCUUCACUUCCUAAAUAAGUUACUAACGAAAUUUGAACUAAGUUACUAGUGAAAACUUAAAAUUUGGACUAAUGCGAACCCGCAAUCCAAAUAAAUCGAGACCAGAUCGUCCCCUAGGUGUUCUCCAAAAAGUUCGAGGCUACAUCAUAUAUCGAGCUGACGAGGAGGCCAAUUCACCUGUGAAACAUGGGCGGUGCCGACGACGUAGACGCGGCAGGUCCCGCCCGCCCCCGCCGCCUCCGCCUCGGGCGACGUCUCGCACUCGAGGCACACCACCCCCUUGGCGAGCUCCUCGGGCAGCUCCUUCCUCUCCCUCUCCCCCUCCCCCUCCCCCCGCACCACCUCUCCCCCGCCCGUCUCCGCGUCGGCGAACUCCGACGCGUCCUCGUAGCCCCCGCCCUCGCCGUCGGCGGCCGGAUCCAUGAGCAGACCGAGCGGUGUGAGGCCGCGGCCGCCUCGGAUCGGGCCAGUGCACAGCAGGGCCUGGACCAGUGAGGCCUGGAGCGGCGACAGGCGGCGGCGGAAGAGAGGCGGAAGCGGGAGGCGGCGGCGGUGGAUCGGCGGCGACGACGAGUCUGGGAGGAGGCGACGAGGAGCGCGAAUCAUGCGGCGGCGGGCGUCGAAAUUUUUUUUUUGAGAGGGAUUUUUUUUUUUUUUUGAUGAAGAGGAAGAGUUCGUCGUGCGGGCCGGAGAUGGAGUGGACUUGGGGGAGGAGGUGGGGCGAUGUACGGUCUGGAUUUGUUUCGUCGUAUCGUAGAAGGGAUCUGGCCCGUCCGUUCGGUACACUGGACUCCGAGUCAGUGAUAACUACGGCGCAGCCAGUUUUGUCUUUUUUAUUGCUUCAUCGGGCCGGAACCGGAUGACCGGGCGAUGGAAUUCAGGGUCGGUUUGUGUCAUUUAAUUACGACGUUAACGUUAAACAUGUACAACAAUAAUAAACUGAUCAACGUUAAUAUUUUGUAAAGUAAAUUUUUAGAGUAAAUUGUACCCACGGUACAAAGAAUUUGGUAGAUACGUGCGAUAUAGUAUAAUAACUUGAAGAAAAACGAGUAGACUGGUAUAUAAACUUGACAAUCACGUGCAUUUUAAUCAAAAACAUAAAUAUAUAUCUUUGAUUAAUCUUAACUGCUAGGUUUUGGCUCAUGAAUUCAAUUUCGUGUUUUGCCAUGUUCAUAACCCAAUACAAUGAAUAUGUUGAUUAGGCGAGUCGCUCGAAAAUUAUGUUAUUUGCAUGCACUUAUUUUUGAUAAUCAUAUAUCUUUUGGUUUCAAAUAGAUAGAUUAUUUUAUUGUUACAACUAACAGAUAAAGCAAUAUAUAAUACAUCUAAAUCCUUGUCAAGAUGGCUGGCAUGAGUGGCUGCUUUUUUUAUAUGGCAUAAAAAGUAUGGUGUGCAAUAUUGAUAUUUAGCCAAAAUGCACGCACUAGCCAAGUUGUUCCCUUAUAUACUCAGUUUUUAAAUUUUUGCACUAGAUUACACCCACCUACCCCAAGUUUACGUAUUGUAGAUGUAAUUUACUCAAAAUUUUAAAAUAAGAUCAUCUAUUGAAAAAACAAAGAUAGUAUGUAAAGAGCAUUAUAAAAUAAUUUAUCGUUCUAUGGGAGAAAAGAAAUGAAAAGAGGAGUGAAAUGAAAAGAGGAGUGCCUCUGCGUCGGUGGUAAAAAAGAAAUGCUGUAUGUCAGUGGUAGAUAUCAUCGACCAAGAUCCGACUGUGCCCAAUAAUCAAUACUACACAUGUCUAGCAUGCCGGUUAUGGUUGAAAUAAAGUUAUUUAAAUGAUGCAUUCGUUUUUUUUCAAGUUUUAUUGAGAACCUUUUAAAACAAAGGAUUAAUGUAUAAAUUUUGUAGGAUUUAAAUCUUAUAGAAUUUUUAUAUUUGACCUUUUUUGAUAUAAAGGAUUGAAAGAAUAUCUAACUUAAUUGCAUGUAGAUUUGUUUUACCGUUAUACUUAUUUUCUCCGUCAAAAAAAGACAAACCCUGAGUUUCCGUGUCCAACGUUUGACCGUCCGUCUUAUUUAUAAAAACUAUGAAAAAAACUAAAAAAGAUAAAUCACUUAUAAAGUAUUAAUCAUGUUUUAUCAUCUAACAAUAAUGAAAAUACUAAUUAUAAAAAAAAAUUAUAUAAGUCGGACAGUUAAAUGUUGGACACGAAAAUUCACUAUUUGUCUUUUUUUUUUUUUUACGGAGAGAGUAUGUUAGAAUCAUGUAUUUUUUUCUGCUUCUCUGUUAUCCAUUCAUGGAAUUCAGACAGGCCAUUAAUUCGACACAUCAUCAAUAUUGGUCCCGCUGAUAUUUACUCUAACCAACACCAACUAGAGUGUCAAGAGAAGAGUAGGAAAGCUUGAAGAAAUCAAACACAUCAUCAUUCCAAUUUCCAAAGAGGAGAGUCGCAGAAAGCAAUGGCUUCUACUGACCGCAGCAAGAAGCUUCGCGUCCUGCUCAUCCCAUUCUUCGCCACCAGUCACAUCGGCCCCUUCACCGACCUCGCCGUCCGCCUCGUCACCGCCAGACCGGACGCCGUCGAGCCCACCAUCGCCGUGACCCCGGCCAAUGUCUCCGUCGUCCGAUCAGCCCUCGAGCGGCAUGGCUCAGCGGCGACCAGCGUGGUCAGCAUCGCCACCUAUCCGUUCCCGGAAGUGGCCGGCCUCCCUCGGGGCGUCGAGAACCUCUCCACUGCCGGCGCCGAUGGGUGGCGGAUCGACGUCGCUGCCACCAACGAGGCGCUGACACGGCCGGCGCAGGAGGCGCUCAUCUCGGGCCAAUCUCCUGACGCCCUCAUCACGGACGCCCACUUCUUCUGGAACGCUGGCCUCGCCGAGGAACUCGGCGUGCCCUGCGUUUCGUUCAGCGUCAUCGGUUUAUUCUCCGGGCUCGCCAUGCGCUUCGUCACCGCCGCCGCCGCGAACGACGACUCCGAUUCGGCGGAGUUGACUCUCGCGGGGUUUCCAGGGGCGGAGCUACGGUUCCCCAAGUCCGAGUUGCCGGAUUUCUUGAUCCGGCAAGGGAACCUCGACGGAAUCGACCCGAACAAGAUUCCCCAGGGGCAAAGGAUGUGCCAUGGUCUCGCCGUGAACGCGUUCUUGGGCAUGGAGCAGCCGUACCGUGAGAGAUUCUUGCGCGACGGCCUCGCAAAGCGCGUCUACUUGGUCGGGCCACUCUCGUUGCCGCAGCCACCGGCCGAAGCUAACGCCGGUGAGGCAUCGUGCAUCGGUUGGUUGGACUCCAAGCCGAGCCGGUCAGUGCUGUACGUAUGCUUCGGCACGUUUGCUCCCGUCUCGGAGGAGCAGCUCGAGGAGCUGGCUCUCGGGCUGGAAGCCUCCGGCGAGCCGUUCCUGUGGGCGGUCAGGGCCGACGGGUGGUCGCCGCCGGCGGGGUGGGAGGAGCGCGUUGGUGAGAGGGGGGUGCUGGUCAGAGGGUGGGUCCCACAAACGGCGAUACUUUCUCACCCGGCGACGGCGGCGUUCCUGACGCACUGCGGGUCGAGCUCGCUGCUGGAGGCCGUGGCGGCCGGCGUCCCGCUGCUGACGUGGCCGCUGGUGUUCGACCAGUUCAUCGAGGAAAGGCUGGUCACCGACGUCCUGAGGAUUGGCGAGAGGGUGUGGGACGGGCCACGGAGCGUGCGGCACGAGGAGGCGAUGGUGGUGCCGGCGGCGGCGGUGGCGCGAGCCGUGGCGAGGUUCUUGGAGCCUGGUGGGGCAGGGGACGCGGCGAGGCUCAGAGCGCAGGAGCUCGCCGCCGAGGCUCACGCGGCCGUGGCCGAAGGCGGGUCCUCGUACCGCGAUCUGCGCAGGCUCGUCGACGAUAUGGUCGAAGCAAGGGCGGCCGGCGGCGAGGCUGCGGCUGCACCGCAACCUCAGUAGCCUAUAAUGCCAAUGCGUUCGUCUGUACGAUGUCGAGUCAUUCCACUGUUGCAGGCUCCCAGUUCAUUUCGCUCAGUUGUCAUGAUGCACUGAUGCAGGCCUUGUUGUGACUUUGAGAAACGUUUAUUCAGAGUGCAAACCGCAGAACACUUCUUCAGUUCAGUUCAAUGAAAUCAGUAUAUUGACUUGGUUUGUAAUUUGAAGCUUUUAGGGGUAGUUUGGAUAUAGGGACUAAACUUUAGUCUAUGUUACAUCGGAUAUUUGAUAUUAAUUUAUAAUAUUAAAUAUAAGCUAACUAUAAAACUAAUUACAUAGAUAGAUGCUAAUUUGCGAGAUGAAUCUAUUAAGCCAAAUUAAUCCAUUUUUAACACAUAUUUACUGUAGCACAACAUUAUCAAAUCAUGUACUAAUUAGGCUUAAUAGAUUCGUCUCGCGAAUUAGCCUCCAUCUAUGUAAUUUAUUUUAUAAUUAGUAUAUGUUUAAUACUUUAAAUUAAUGUUAAACAUCCUUUAUCCAAACUACGCUUUAGUAGUUUGGGAAAUCUGAUAAGAAAUGGGUUGGGUAAUCUUUUCUUCUCUUUUUGAAGAAAAGAAAUUGUGGAUGAUUUGAACAGCUAUUCUUCGCCAUUCUUGACAAUCUCCAAGGGUUCUCUUACAACGCUCGGGACGAGCCAGGUGACACCGAUGAAGAUUGCAGAGAAGCUUGCCUGAACAAAUGCUACUGCAUUGCAUACUCAAGUGAAUCUGGAUGUGCAAGCUCUGUAUUACGACCUGUACAAUCUGAGCUCAGCUAAUAAACCUCCAUACAGCAAGAUCUAUGUUGGGUUCCAAGCUCAGGAGCAAGAGGGGAUUGACCACAAGAUGUGUCCUCUUGGUGGUUGGAUCAAUAGCUGUAGCUUCUGCAAUGUUUGCAGUGUUGCUUCUAUGCAGGUACAGGAGAGACUUGUUUGGUUCGAGUAAAUUCGUCGUAGAAUGAUCUUUGGUUGCCUACUCAUAUGCACAGAUCAAGAUCAAGAAGGCAACGGAGUGGCGACGGCGUGGGCGGUGCCCGGUGGUGCGGCGACGGGCGAGGCCGACUCCGCGUGGAGGCGUGCGCGGAGCCCGUGCGACGGCGGCAGCUUCGGCUGGCGCAGCAUUGGCGGGGCAGCUCGGCCAGCGACGGCGAAACCCGGCACGGCACAGUGGCGGCAGUGCGUGGCGUGGUGGCGGCGGUGCAUGGCAGGCGGAGGCCGGCACGGUGGCACUGGUGGCGGCGGGGUGACGGCUGGUGGCAGUGGUUUGGUCGUGGGAGCGAAGGAGGCGACGGCGGCGCCUGGUGGUGGUCGUGGCGGCGCGGUGCUCGGUGACGACGGCGGCGGUGUCCUCCAGAUCCGUGCGACUCGGCUGGAUCUGGAGGGUGGCUGGCGGUGGUGGCUGCGGCAGCUAGCGGCGGCGGCGGAGGACAAGGCGGCGGCGUAGGGCCGGUUUGCUGGCUGCUUUGGUGGCGAAAGGCAACGAUGUAGCGGCUGCUUUGGCGAUGGCGGCGGUUUGCGGAGACGACGGCUGGUGAUAGCGGCAGCGGCGACGGCGGCCGGCUUGCGGCGGUCGUGACUGUGAGGCGGUGGUGAUGUCGCCGGAUGCGGCAACGGCAUCGCCGGCGACAGCAAGUGGAGGCGGGGAAGGAGUCGGGUGCAAGGUGUGGAUGGCGACGGGCGUUCGGCAGCAGCGGUGGUGACCGUGACUGCGGUCACCGAAGGCAUGACGACUUCGGUCGGCUAGCCAAGGGCGUGGCAGACGGCUACUUCUGACUGGUGUGGCAUCGUUUGGAGGAGGGGUCGGAGACCAGCUUGGCGCAGAGAGGCGCAGCUGAUGGUAGCGGAGGCCGGCUCGGCGUGAGAGGCGCGGCUGGCGGAGAUGGAGGCCGGCUUGGCGCGAGAGGCGCGGCCGGCGAUGGAGGAGGCGACCUUGGUGUGAGAAGGAGCUACUGGUGGUUGUGGCGCGGUCUUCGGCGCACGAAGGCUGGCCGGCGGGGGGGCGCCAAUGCAGGGGUCCCACAUGUUGGCAGAGCUUGAGUGGUGGUGGAGCAUCGGGGCACCACCCAUGGAUUUGCAGGUGGUGAGCAGCGGGUGAAAACCCAGCCCGGCCUUGGCCGGACUGGCAACGAUGAUUCCCCCUCCUGAGGGCGUUGUUGUGCUGUCUCAUCCCUCAAGGGUGGUUGCCGGGCAAAAAGCCCAGUCUUGCUCCUUUGAGCCCUGACGGAUGGCGGCGGCGGUUCUUCCGUCGCUUCUCUUCUUGAAGACGUCGUUUUGACAUCCCCUAGGGGGCGAUCUCGUCUGUGUUUCUUUGUUGGUCUAGCAGCGAUCGGUCACGCUUAGCAGCGGCCGGUCCGGUGCUUGCCUUUUCCCAGGCUUGUGUGUUGGCGUUGUCGGUGUGUGGGUGGUAGUAUAUUUUUUCCUUUUUGCUGGUUACGACCCUUCAGGGUUGUAAUCUUGUAAUUUUUUCCUGCUCUAUCAAUAGAACUUCGCACCGUCUCGUGCGAGUCGUUCAAAAGAAGAAGGCAACGGAGAAUUUCUGUGAUAAUCUCGGAGAAGGCGGAUUCAGAAGCAUUUUUCAGAGGUACUUGCCCGAGAAGAAGAAGAAGAUGGUAAUGAAGGAGACGAGUGUUUCCGAGAACGUGGGAGCACACACGACGGCAACAUUGGGCGACUUGAAGUCACCCUCCAUCUCCUCCCACGGCGGCACGUUCUUCCGGUCUGUGAACAGUGACAGAGGUGAGAAUGCGUCGCUCCCGUCCUCCUCGAUGCCACCGCCGGCGGCGGCUUGUCGGUGCAGGUCGCUUAGUUGCAUCAUCAUCGGCUUGUCUCCCCCUUCCCCGCCGCCGCCGCCACCACCAGCCCCAUCGAUCUAGUGCUGCCGGAGGCGGGAUGCGAGCAACGCCGACUCAUCAAACACCUGCUCCGCCACCAGAUUGCCCUUCUCAUUGUGCAUGCGCCGAAGUCGCCGUAGAAGAAGCCGUGCGGACUUGUAGCCGGAGGAAGAACGCCUGAGAGAGAGGAGAGAGAAGAGGAGGGAAUGAGAAUGACACGUGGGGCCCAUGUAGGCCCCACCAUUUUAAAAAACAUUUUUAUUGUAACUAACAUGUGGGCCCACGAUUAUUAUUAUUAUUUUCCAUAUCAAGUUGCCACAUAAGCGCGACGUCAAUAUCAUGUGGGAGAAAGACUAAGUCAAACUAAUCACGUAGGCGCCACGUCAGUUAAAACCGGCGUGCAAACCGCCAUGGGACCUAUAUUGCACCGGUUUUGUAAUUGAGGGACCCGUUGUAUCUGGUUUUACCGUUGAAGGACGAAAAUCGGAUUGGUUGACAAGUUAAGGGAACUCAAGUGAACUUAUUCCUUCUUCUUUUCCACCGAAGCAGCAGGCCCAGGCCAAUCGGCCUGUUUGUCUUCCUCUCUACCAGCUAGCCCAAACCAGCUAUUCUUCCCGGACCAUCUUUGUUUCCUCUUCUUCGGCCCAUCUGUCCCAACUCGACCAGCCUCGCCAGCCAGCCAACCAACCAGGACGCGAAUUUUUUUCGUUUUUAGAUUUUUUUUUUAAUAUUUACAGAAAUAAUCUAUCGACCAAAAAAAUUACAGAAAUAGCACCUGCCGCCCAAAUGGUGGGCGGCAAGCUGACGUGGCAGACGAUGGGUCGACCGCGCCGUCUGCCGCCGUCGGCCAAAAUUGCGAUUAGGCCCUUGUCGCCCAUACAGAGGGCGGCAAGGGGCUAAUUACAAUUUUGGCCGCCCAUUCAGAGCUUGUGGCCGUACUUUUUCAUCUGGGGGCGGCAAGGGACCCAGAUGAAAAAAGUACGGCCAAAAGAUUUUUCUAUGUUAUGUUAAUAAUAAAUAAAGAAGUAUUUAUUGGUAAAACUUGUUAAUAUUGUUAUAAAAAUGUAUUGAAGUUGGUUGUUGCGCAAUUUCAUAUGUUAAGUGAGGUAUUAUUUUGUACCUUAUUUGACGUAUUAGUACUCGGAUAAUUUAUAUAGGCCUAUCGCAGUCUAGGUCGUAGAAACAUUAUAUGGACUUAAACAAGGAGAAUUAUGUAACAUGAAGAAAUAGUAGUACAAUUUGAACAUGAUACAACUAUUUGCAUUGCGGUUACAUAGAUGAUAUUAGAUUCGAACUAGGAGGGAGGUAGUGCAAUAGUUGAACACAACGACGAUGUAGUAAUGGGACAAGGAAGCAUGACAGUAGAAAUUUCAAUAUGCCAAGUUGUCCGAUAAUAGCUAACCCCUACGUGAGGAUCCCUCUCCUCUCUCAAACCGCGCUUUAGUAACCCUGUAUUGCUCUGGUAGUUCAAGCUGCACAACACAGCUAGGUGGAGUUAGAACCCUUCUGGUGUCUAUCCAUUCUCUGUAUUGACAUCUCCUUGGUGGUUCCUGGGAGGAAAGAAUAGAUGUAAAGCAAGCAAAGUUAGUAAAUGUUGUGAGAAAAUAAGGAAUCAUGUAAUUAAAAUAUUCUUACCAUGAAAUCGUCGUCAAGAAUAUUUGGACAAACAAAGAACCUUCGACCCAAUGUUGUAGGAUUUAUGGAACGAAGAACCUGACAACGAUCACCACACCUACAUCUUGGACGGGCUUUCCAUGGAGGGAGUGCCGUAGUUAGCACCCGCCAGUCGCUCUGUUGUUCACGACAUUGUCGUUCAUAAGCCGCUUUUCUCUGUAAGUAUUGCUCAGUACUUUCGGAUGCGAAAUACCAGCGACCUUCUUGUAAACAAGUGGUUAGGUCGAGAACGGGAUUUUCUGUAUCGACCCACUCGAUGUAUGCGCAAGCCGUAGUGCGGGUCUGCUGAAUAGAGUAGUGUUACGAAGAAUAAAGCGAUUGCCCAUACGGAAUGAAUAAGCAUAUGCAGAUAAUAAAAUACCUCACGGUCAUAGUUAGGGCACCUAAAAAAGCGCCUUCCUCGAAUAUCAGGAUUCCUCGAAGCCAUUAGUUGGCAUCGAUCACCGCAUAGGCAGAGAGGACGCUGGCACCAAGGUGGUAGUAGGUAUACACAAGGAUCGCUACGCCAGUUUGGAUCCUCAACACCCCGGCGUCUAGCCAUUGACGAAAGCCGGUCGGAUUUGUAAUGAAGCAAGUGGGGAAGAGAGUACUGAAUGUGACUGAGUUCUGAAAGAUUGUGAGGCCUCACUCGUUAAGGCGACUUAUAUAGGCGCAAAAAAUCGAGUGAUACCCCUGACAUGUGAACGUGGUGGGGUAUGGUGGGUACGCCUGAUUGGUGCCGAAAGAUACAUGCAUGAUCGGCACCGAAAGUUACAUUGGUCGUAUGCGCCAAAUGGCGGGCAAAUACUCGUAUCACACGCGAAUAAAGGAGGCUGCAUCGGUGCGGCAGAAAGUAGUCGUGCAUGCGCCGAAAGGUAUCGUGCAUGCGCCGAAAGGUAUCGUGCACAUAUAACAACAACGUAGUCAUUACACAAGCAUACAGUACUGGAAAGUGAAGCAAGUAAACAAAAAGAAGACUGCUCUGCUGGCCCUGCCCCGCGCCGCGACCACGCUUGGUCCUCCGGGCCUGUGCUCGCACGUGGUCCUAGGAGUAGGUGAAACGAUCCGGUGGCACAGCACGGGUAGCACGAGUGUCCCGCGGAGGAGUGGCCUGCGCCUGGACCUGCGUCUGCACCGGCGGUGCGCCUCCCAGCUGUGAGGGGCCGAUGACGUCCUCUGUCGAGUCUGAAGCGAAGUCGAAGUCAGUGAUGUCGAAGAGCACGGUGGAAGACAGGAAGGGGUCCGACGAGGUCCCAGCAUGGUCCAGUGGUGGACCCUGACUCGACGUGCCGGCUGCCUGUGACGCUGACCCUGCAGCCUGGGAGAAGUGGGCGGCCUGCGUCAUAGCGAACUGGGCGAAACCUACACAUCGACAACGGGACCCUUGUAAGCUAAGACAUAAAAUGUAUGUAAAUUGAUUGUGGAAGUAAUGUUGUUUUUUUAAGUACCUGUGGGGGGCACAACAGAAGGCCUAGCCGAGGAAGGCAGGGUGCUGAACGGUGCACGAAACCCUGAAGCAAUCGGCAAGUGAAACGGCUCACUUAUAUGUGCGAGGCAUGUACAGAAGUAGUAAUAAAAAUACUUACCUCCGUGCGGAGGAGGAGUCGGCCUAGGAACUUGCGCAGCUGGACGGGGACCAGUCGGUACGGGUGGCCGCUGUACAGCUGCGUCUGCCCGAGCAACGUCGUCUGCACGACAGGUGAGCACUCGGAGAAUCGAGCGCAUCGAGCUCCUCAUACAGUGACUCCUCGUACGCGUGCUGGUCCACCUCAGGGCGGCCGAUCGCAAUCCUCUCAGCUGCCCAGAUAGAAAGAAAGAGAGGGCACCCACCAAAGGUCGCGCUGGGAUCCGUCUUCGUGCAAGACUCACAAAGUGCACGGUACAGAGCCGCCAACAACGCGGAACCCCAACUCCACUGAGGCACCUCGCCUACCGCGGCGUCGGCGAUGCUCCUGGCGUAGUGCACGAGUCCCUUGUCGACCGCGUGCCCAUGACCGCCACAGAACAUCACCCAGCCAAAAAGCCAGAGCAAGUACGCCUCCAAACAUCGGCUGUACGAGUACUCGUCGGCCUCCGCCUGUAGCUGCUCAACCUGCAAGCAGUCGAUAAAAUGUUAGGCACCUUAACUGCGGACUAAAUAUGUAAUACGAUUGUCAUUUCGGUACAAAAACACUCACGGUGAACUGAAGCAGCCACCUCUUCGUAGGUCCGGUGUUGCGGUGGUGUGCCAACGGCUCGAGCGGGAGGUGCGGUGCGCGCUGUACUAGUGCGAAACGUGCCGUCAGAUCGUCCUGCCAGUCCACAGCCGUGGUCACUGGCCCAACAGCGUCUCCCGCGAGCGGUAGCCCCAACAAGUACGAUACGUCCUGUAGGGUAGGGGCUACCUCACCGCACGGCAAGUGAAAAGUGUGCGUCUCUGGCCUCCAUCGAUCGACCAAAGCUGCUACGAGGGACCUGUCCACAGUCCAUCGUCUGGCCGGGUCCGCGUCGCCGGCCGCAGCCUCCACCAGCCGACACAUCGGUAGGAGGCCGGCCUCACGUAGCCUGCAAUAACAAAUUAAUAUGUCAUUAUAAAAAAUAUUACAGUGCAACUAACUUAUAGUAAAACACUGUUCGUACCUCUCGACAAAGGAGUCGUGAACCGUGAGUAGCUCACCGCACGUCCGUGCCCGGAACGUCCCAUCAAUGCAGAGAAUGUCAAGAAUGUCCCAUCAAUGCAGAGAACAGGACGACAGUUCACGAAUGCCAUCUUGCAUGCAUGUAGAGCUAAGAACGCCCUUUGCAGCACACUCUUGCCAGGAUGUUCAAUUGAGGGGAAUUUCUUCACUUCGUAAGAGCUCCCAGGGUUUCUUUCCUCGAUAACACCAAGCAGGCAUGGCAAAUUGUCAUACAAGGCUUCGUAAGUUCCAAAUCUCAUCUCUAUUAUUUUCUAUUUGGCCCUCCAGGCCUUGGCAUAGCUAAUAGUAUACUUGUAUGUCUCCUCGAUGUGUCGGAUUAUUGACCUUGGUUCAUAUGUGAGAUUAUCGAUGACAUGCGCAUACAUCUCAGAUGCAACAAAUGCACAUGUAAUGUUCCUGUGGUAUUUCUGAACACCAGGUAGAAAACAUGUAUGCUUGGUAACAACUGACACUGUCCAAUAAUCCUUCCAUUUCCCCUUAUACGCGUGCACUCUCCAGGGACAACCAUCUUUUUCCUUAACACACCGAACUUCAUAUUGCGACCGGUUCGACUUGGCAACCCUAAACUCUUUAUGAAGUGACACUGCAAAAUGUUUUACCGCCUCCUUCAUAUCUUCUGCUCUGCUAUAAAUCGCUCCCUGAAUAACCUCAUUUUCUUUGUACUCCCAUCUCACACUAUCCUAUUCAGAGACGAUCAGUCCAGAAAAAUCCUCACUAGCCCAUUCUGCUGGAUUAAUAUCCGUCUCAUCAUCUGACGAAUCACCUUCCUUUACACGCUCGUUGUCAGAAUCCUCCCUCUCCAUUUCAUCCACAAUGGCACCGACAGUCUCCCCCUCGUCGGCCACUCCACCUGGUUGAAUGCCCACUGGAGCAACUACGCCCCCGUCCUCUCGUGCGUUGACCUCCUCCACAGAAGUCUCGUUUACUUCAGCACUUGGUCCCUCGCCAUCAUCCAUGUUCAUCUGCACACCUGGAUCCUUCGGGUGAACAAACGGAACCAAAGCUAGAGGCCACCCGCGUUGCAAUGCAUUUUCCAAAUACCAUCUCCACACUCGGGAGUUUUGAACUGGCAUUAGUUCCCAAUAAAAACCCUCAGUUGCCCGACUUACUAUAACAUUGAUUGUUAUGUCACUUGUCUGUGGAUCAACUCUCAAGCCCCUCAUUAACCAUCCUUUUAUAGAAGGUACACUCCUCUCAGCCGGUCUAUCAAUUCCCCUUUCUGAUACAAUAAAAUCUGACAGAUCUACCCCAGUUGGCCCGUAACAGACGUUUCGUGGUCCAUGGUAAACUUGGAAUAUUUGUUUGUUCGACAUAUCUGUCAACGAAAUAACUAGAUCAUAUUACUCUUUCAUGCAAUAAACAUCUACAACGUAAUAUCUUCUUGUGUAAGCCAAUGCAACGGUAAUGUAUUGAUUCCAAACUAGCAGAUCUACGUAGUUACCGAUAUCUAUAAUACGCACUUCUAGAUUAGUACAACUAAAACCCUAAAAAUAUAAUGCAUUUAUUCAAACAAAUUUUUAAAAAAUACACACUAUUUUUAAAAAAUAUAAUCCCCCGUUUGCCACGUCAGCUUGCCGCCUCAGAGGUGGGCGGCAGGGUCUAUUUUUAUAAUUUUUUUGGCCGAUAGAUUAUUUCUGUAAAUAUUAAAAAAAAAUCUAAAACCGAAAAAAAUUCCCAGGACGCACCUGGACCUGGUGCGUCGGCCGGCCUCGCCGCACCUCGCGCUCGCGCGCGCAACCCUAACCCGCCCUCCCUCCCUGCCGCACCGAGCUCGCCAGUGCGCCGUCCCGCGACAAGCCGUGGACAACGCGCCCCCCUUUCCGCUGCCCCUUGAAAUCUCAGCCGUGCUGUAGUGCCAAGCAGACCUCACAACGACGACUUCGUCGCUUCCCCGUACCAACCACCGCACGUACAGCGCCAGCUGUACGUAGAUCGCGUCACCCGAGCAGCGUUUCGCUUGUACCCGCCCGGCGCACCGGCCCCGCGACCGCGAUGACGCCGAGUCGCGCCAACCAUCCACUCCCUGUCGCGCGCCACGUCGCCUGCUGCCGCCCGUUUACUUUUCCUCAUCUCCCGCGCGCGCCUUCCGCUGCUGCACCCAGUCCACCGCGCCGCCAUGCCGCGCCACCGGAGCUCGACGCAGAAAGUGGUGCGCCGCGUCCAUCCUCCCCACCACCACCACAGUCCUCCUCCUGUAACAUCCUGUGCCCCUUUUUCAUCGUCAUCGGCCUCCUCCUUUCCCCCACCAAACCCAUCUCCAGUUCUCCACCAUCACACGAUCGAGCAUCUCGGGGCCGCGACUUCUUGCUUUUCCGCCCUCGCCACCACAUCGACACGCCGAGAUCCGCCGUUGCAUCGCCUCCAAUCGAGCCCGCUCACCUCCUGCAUCACCAGCACCACUCUCCGCCUCCCUGGCCGCCGUCGCGCCGGGUCGAGUGCCGCUCGCGUGCGCGCCUCCUUCCCCACCGCCGAUUGGAUUCUUGUGCAGAAAUCCAUCAAUUCCUCAAUCCUCACUAGACACAUCAACGCUCCAACUCCAGGCUAGAGAAGAGCAGAAGGCUUGCGGAGAAGAAUGGCUUCUGCCGAGCGCAGCAAGAAGCUGAGGGUCCUGCUCAUGCCCUUCUUCGCCACAAGCCACAUCGGCCCCUGCACCGACCUCGCCGUCCGCCUCGCCGCGGCCAGACCGGAUGUCGUCGAGCCCACUCUCGCCGUCACCCCGGCCAACGUCUCGGUCGUCCGAUCAGCCCUCAGGCUGCAUGGCUCUGCGGCGAGCACCGUGGUCAGCAUCGCCACGUAUCCGUUCCCGGAAGCGGCCGGCCUCCCACCGGGCGUCGAGAACCUCUCCACCGCCGGCGACGAAAGGUGGCGCGUUGACGCCGCUGCCUUCGACGAGGCGAUGACAUGGCCAGCACAGGAGGCGCUCAUCAAGGACCAAUCUCCCGACGUCCUCAUCACAGACUUCCACUUCUCGUGGAACGUCGGCAUCGCCGAGGAACUCGCCAUGCCCUGCGUUCAACUCAACGUCAUCGGUUUAUUCUCCACGCUCGCCGUAUACCUUGCCGCUGCCGUCGUGAAUGACUCCGAUUCGGAGGAGCUCACCGUCGCAGGGUUUCCGGGGCCGGAGCUACGGAUCCCGAGGUCAGAGUUGCCGGAUUUCUUGACCGCUCAUCGGAAUCUCGACUUAGUGGACAAUAUGCGCAAGUUGGUACAAGUGAACACGAGGUGCCAUGGCUUCGCCGUCAACUCGUUCUUGUUCCUGGACAAGCCAUACUGUGAGAAGUUCAUGUGCAACGGCUUCGCGAAGCGCGGCUACUACGUCGGUCCCCUCUGCCUUCCGCAGCCACCGGCCGUAGCUAGCGUCGGUGAGCCCACUUGCAUCAGCUGGUUGGACUCGAAGCCGAACCGAUCGGUGGUGUACAUAUGCUUCGGCACAUUUGCUCCCGUCUCGGAGGAGCAGCUCCAUGAGCUGGCUCUCGGGCUGGAAGCCUCCGGUAAGCCGUUCCUUUGGGCGGUUAGGGCGGCCGACGGGUGGGCGCCGCCGGCGGGGUGGGAGGAGCGUGUCGGUGACAGGGGAUUGCUUGUCAGAGAUUGGGUCCCGCAGACGGCGAUACUUGCCCACUCGGCGACGGCGGCGUUCUUGACGCACUGUGGCUGGAACUCAGUGUUAGAGGGUGUGACGGCUGGUGUCCCGUUGCUGACAUGGCCGCUGGUGUUCGAGCAGUUCAUCACGGAAAGGCUGGUCAUGGACGUCCUGCGGAUUGGGGAGAGGGUGUGGGACGGAGCACGAAGUGUACGGUACAAGGAGGCGGCGCUGGUGCCGGCGGCGGCGGUGGCGCGGGCCGUGGCGAGGUUCUUGGAGCCUGGAGGGGCAGGGGACGCGGCGAGGAUCAGAGCGCAGGAUUUCGCGGCGGAGGCUCAUGCGGCCGUGGCGGAAGGUGGCUCUUCGUAUGGAGAUCUGCGCAGGCUCAUCGACGAUCUUGUUGAAGCAAGGGCGGACGCCGGCGAGUCCGCGCUGCAACCUCUGUAACCUGUCGUUUCUCUAUACGAUACCGAGACAUUCGUUCCAGACUCCAUCCAGUUCAUCUCGUUCUGUUGCGUUCAAUCAAAAUAAAUUACGAUGUGAUGUAUUGAUACAUGGGAUCACCUAUAUAUUUGUUGAUAUAAUUUUUUAAAAAAUUUGACAGAUGUAAUUAUAGUAUAAUUGUGAUAUAAUUACACUGUAACUUAUAUGUAACUUCUAUGAAACUUUCAAAAAUAUCUUGUAAUAUAAUAUUGGUGAAACGGAGGUUGUGGGGACGAGUCCUCUCACAUGUGUGCGCUGUGACUUUCUUAUUCCUCACUUUUAUAAGUCUUGAAACAAAUAUAACGGUUCAAAAUUACGUGAAAAUUAAGUUAUAUAUAAGUUACACUGUAGUUAUAUGCAUGCAUGUUACAGUGUAACACUACUGGAUAAAGGGUUUUUAAUCCUAGUUUGUAACCCCUUAGUCCCGGUUUGAAAUAAUCAGGAUUAAAAAUCAUUAAGAUGGAGCCAAGGUAGGUUCGUUCUUUUCUUUUUUUCAUUAUUUUUAACUUUGAAUAUUGAUUUCACUAUAUCCCAAAUCAUCCCGUGAAAUCCCCAAAUCGAUCAUCACAUAACAAAAAGGAUCAUCUCCAUAUCCCCAAAUCAAUCAUCUCCAAAUACAUCACAAAUACAUCAUAUAUUCAAAUCACACACAGAUCAAAUACAUCACAAAUUCUCAAAAACAAUUUCAUCACAAAUCCUAAAAAAAAAACAAAUCUCCUGCCGCCGCCGACCCCGCCCCUGCCUGGUUGCUUGCCCUCCCGGCUCCGGCGUGCGCAAGCCACCGCGGCCCUCCGCUGGCCUCGCUCGCUCACUCCUCCUAGCUCGCUCCUCGAUCUGCCGACAGGAAGGAGAGGAUAAGAUCGGCUUUAAAGAAAAGGAUAAGAGAGAGAGGAGGAAUAGGAAUAUGAGGAGUUUAGGAGGAUAAGUAAUAGGAAUUAUAUACAGUAUAUGGAUUUUUAAGUACCGGUGUUACCAACCGGGGUUAAAGAUCAAUUUUUAGUCUCGUUUGGUCACACCAACCGGGACUAAAAAUCCCUGGCCCCCUGACAGCCUCUAAUAGUAAAUGAACCGGGACUAAAGAUGAUCUAUAGUCCUAGUUGGUGGGCCAAUAGAGUUUUAAACUGGGACAAAAAAAAUCAUCUUUAGUCCCGGUUUCUAUUCAAACCGAGGCUAUUGUGGAUUUUGGCCGACCAGGCAAAGAUGGUUUCUCCAUCAGUAUAAUUAUACUAGAUUGUACUGUAAUUGUAUCUGUCAAAAUUUUAGGCGAAAAUUUAUUGAUAAAUAUAUAGCAAAAUUGUUGAUACAUAACUUUUUUUUUUCUGCUGCUGCUGGAAAAAUCACGUUAUGGAGAGUACAAAUUAACCGAAGAACAUUUCUGACCUCACUUCAUCGAGAAAAAGACUAUUUUUCUGAGUACAUGUAAUUUUUGCUAGCUUGGAUAUAACGUGAAGCUUUUAGUUUCCGGCUUGCUAAAAUUAUGACGCUAUAUUUUUUUAAGGGAUUUCAGUCACUUUUUUUCUCCAUGUGAUUGCUCGGUCUCUUAUAUGUAUAUGUAUGUUUUCAUCUCUCCUAUUUUCUAUUUCAAGUAGAUAAUAAAUUACUUGAAUCCUAAUUCUCUCGUACAUUGUGCAUUAGAAAAAUUACAAUCAUAAUGUCGACGUUUGAUGUCGCGAUUUCGGUAUUUGCAUAUUAUGGGGAUCGUUGGAACUAGGAUAUACGCGAGACUGAGAUAAAAGAUAUGGGGACAGAGAUUUUUAUACAAGUUCGGGCCCCUUAAUUGUCAGGUAAUAACCCUACAUUCUGUUGGCCGAAGCCGGUAUUACUCUUAUUCACCAUAAUCACACCAGUACAAUAUUUGGAGUAGCCUAUUUAACUGUUGUCGACAUGGCGGUCUGAAGGUCUGACUCGUAGUCGAUAACAGGGUCCUCCUCGAGUUCGUGCCCGGCGAGAUCAAAGAUAGCGCUUUCGUCUCUCCUGACAGUAUCCGGAGACACCAUAGGGGACUAGCCGUGCCUAUCUUCGAAGUCGAUAUCCAGCGUCUUGUCUUGGCGUAUGUUGAUAUUGUGUCUUGAUUUAUUGUUUCGUGUCUUCUAUGGUGGUUGUGUGUUGAUCGUCUGUGUCCCCUCUCCUCCUAAGGGGCCUUGUAUUUAUACCCAUAGGUGUCCCCUUGUCCAAAUAGAACCAGAGAAACCAAUAUGGAUACAAUCCGAGUAGUCCUUGUCGUUUCCAUGUAGAAAUUUGGUUAUCCUUCCUUAUGCGGAACUCCUCCUAUAUCCGAAGGUUGUUUCCGUAUAAGACAUAGUAUGUGGUGGGUCCUGCCGAGAUUUAGUCAAUUAUUAUUAGGUAUGUGGUAUCCAUAACACUGACACAUAAUAUUGAAACUUACCAUGUAAUUAUAGCGUGAGUUUUGAUACUUUCAGUUACAAAUAUAAGUAUAUGUAAUUCAUAGUUGUAAAUAUAGCUAGUUUCGAGGGAGGUCAAGCAGACUACACGCAGCAAGUCAACACUGAAAAGGAGAGUGGCGAUGAGUCAUGGGCAAGGCCAAUGUUUGUGACUCAAUUGACAAUAAGAGUAGGAACCGCUGAAGAUAGCAAUAACUAUGGCAAUGUCUGCAAUGGUUAAGCUCAUGGAAAAACACAAGGUGGUCCUACCGAAGAAAAAAAAUUACUUCCCAACCAUGCCCAACAGGCAAAGAGCAAUGAAAAUAUUGUAUUAUAUUCCUUGUGGUAGCACCUUAAGCUUAAGAUCAUUUUUUGUUGCACUAAACUUAUCAUGUGCUCACACAAUGGCUAAGGUGUUAUACUAUUGCAGUAUUUAAUGCUUAAGGUUAACUUUUUGGAUACAUUGUGGUUGCCUGAGGCCGCAAGCAUCAGCCGCGCCACCGCCCGUCCUCAGACCUCAGGUGCGGCGAGCGGCGAGCCUGUGACUUGCAACAAGUUCCCGUUUUUAUUUAAGAAGAAAGCAGUUCUCAUUUUUUUUAAGAAGAAGAGAGUUGGUCUAAACCAGCCAUAAAUCCUCACAGUCGCUUGGUUAAUUAAAGCAAUCAGAAAAACAAAGGACAGGGUAAAAGCCUGCGGCAAACAACUACUGAGACCACAGUGCAACACAGGGUUGCCAAGCUCUUACUCAACCUAAACCACCAGAACAUGUCCACACAAAUUCUAUCUGAGUUUUAGCCGACACACUUGGUUGCCAAGCUCUUACUCAACCUAAACCACCAGAACAUGUCCACACAAAUUCUAUCUGAUUUCAGCCGACACACUUUUCAAGCUACUAAAACAGUAUGGUCUGUAAAAAAAAAUUCUAUGUAAAAGUUGGUCUGCAAUAUAAAUAAAUUAACUUUUCAAUUUUACAAUAAUUAAAACUCAAUUAAUCAUAACUUUCCCGUUUCAUGUGCCCUCACUUAAAAUCUUCAUGUUAAGCAAUUUCAAACAUAGGCACAUGUUGGGAAAAAAUUUCUAUGGAAGAUUUUUUAAGGAGUAAAACAGCUUCAAAGACGCUGUUUUUUGUUUGAAAGACGCUGUUUAACUGUGUAUAUUGCUUAUCGAUAGAAAAAAAAGGGAAUAUUUCAUUGUUUAGAUAGGAUUAGUGGCCUAGUGGAUGGCCAUUACAACUUUAAACGUUAUUCGGGGCAUUAUAUACGUCGUUCACCGAGUAGUUAUUCUGCAUUCAUUCAACCAACACAGCAACGUUCCAAACUAGAGAAGAACAAAAAGCUAAGGGCGUCUUUGAAUCGUAAGAAUGAAAAAAUGUAGGAUUUUGAUAGAAAUGUAAGUGUAAAACAGAGGAUUGCAAAACACAGGAAUGACCGUUUGAUUGGACCGCAGGAAAAACACAGGAAUUAGAGGAGAGAUAAAGACUCAAAGGAAAGUUUCCAUGAGGUUCUACCUCAUGUUAGAAUUCCUCCAAAAUUUACAUGGCAUUAGGCAUUCCAUAGAAAUUUCAUAGGAUUCCAUAAAAUUCAUUCCUUUGAUUCAAAGCGCUAUAUAGAAAAAAUUUCUAUAGGAAUGAAAUCCUCUAAAAUUGUUAUGAAUUUCCUUUAAAUAAAAAGGGGCCUAAGCUUGCGGAAAAGAAUGGCUUCUGCUGAGCGCAGCAAGAAGCUUCGAAUCCUUUUCAUCCCGUUCUUCGCCACAAGCCACAUCGGCCCCUUCACCGACCUCGCCGUCCGCCUCGCCGCGGCCAGGCCGGACAUCGUCGAGCCGACCAUUGCCGUGACCCCGGCCAAUGUCUCGGUCGUCCGAUCAGCCGUCAAGCGGCACGGCUCCGUGGCGAGCAGCAUGGUCAGCAUCGCCAAGUAUCCGUUCCCGGAUGUGGCUGGCCUCUCUCCGGGCGUCGAGAACCUCUCCACCGCCGGCGACGAAGGGUGGCGCAUCGACAACGCCGCCUUCAACGAGGCACUGACACGGCCGCCGCAGGAGGCGGUCAUCAGGGAGCAGUCCCCCGACGUCCUCAUCACGGACUCCCACUUCUCCUGGAUCGUCUACAUCGCCGAGGGCCUCGGCAUGGCGUGCUUCCGAUUCUGCGUCAUCGGUUUCUUCUCCAUCCUCGCCAUGCGCCUCCUCGCCGGCGCCGCUGCCGACGCGAACGGCUCCGAUUCGGAGUCGCUCACCGCCGCGGGGUUUCCGGGGCCGAAGCUGCAGAUCCCGAGGUCCGAGGUGCCGGACUUCUUGACCCGCCAACAGAAUUUCGACAAGUUUGACAUGCGCAAGUUGCAACAGUCGCAAGACAGGUGCCAUGGCAUCGUCGUCAACUCGUUCUUGUUCCUGGACAAGCCAUACUGUGAGAAGUUCGUGUGCAACGGCUUCGCGAAGCGCGGCUACCAUGUCGGCCCACUCUGCCUUCCGAAGCCACCGGCCGUAGGCAACGUCGGCGAGCCGUCGUGCAUCAGCUGGUUGGACUCGAAGCCGAGCCGGUCGGUGGUGUACAUAUGCUUCGGCACAUUUGCUCCCGUCUCGGAGGAGCAGCUCCAUGAGCUGGCUCUCGGGCUGGAAGCCUCCGGCAAGCCGUUCCUUUGGGCGGUCAGGGCGGCUGACGGGUGGGCGCCACCGGCGGGGUGGGAGGAGCGUGUCGGUGACAGGGGAUUGCUCGUCAGAGAUUGGGUCCCGCAGACGGCGAUACUUGCCCACUCGGCGACGGCGGCGUUCUUGACGCACUGCGGCUGGAACUCGAUGUUAGAGGGUGCGACGGCUGGUGUCCCGUUGCUGACAUGGCCGCUGGUGUUCGAGCAGUUCAUCACGGAAAGGUUCGUCACGGACGUCCUGCGGAUUGGCGAGAGGGUGUGGGACGGGCCCCGUAGCGUGCGGUACGAAGAGAAGGCGGUGGUGCCGGCGGCGGCGGUGGCGCGAGCCGUGGCGAGGUUCUUGGAGCCUGGAGGGACAGGGGACGCGGCGAGGAUCAGAGCGCAGGAGCUCGCCGCGGAGGCUCACGCGGCCGUGGCCGAAGGCGGCUCGUCGUACGACGAUCUGCGCAGGCUCAUCGACGAUAUGGUAGAAGCAAGGGCGGCCGCCGGCGGGGUUGCACCGGCACGGCAACCUCAGUAGUCUAUUAAUUUCGCUCCGUUGCCAUGAGCGAUGCACUACUCCUGCAGGGACUUCAGAAGUGUUGUUCUUGUCACUUGUGACUGUGAGAAGCGUUUAUUCAGAGUGCAUGCAAACCGCAGUCUUCAGUUGAUCAGCUCCAACGAAGAUCUGCACCUGCAAUAUAUAUUGGCUUAAUUUGGCCUUGUUCUAAUUUGAAAUUAAAGCUUUUAAGUUGCAUCUGAUAUCUGUCGUUGCCUUCAGAGGUUUCUAAUAUUUCCCUUCUGAAAAUUUCAUCUUGUUUACGUGAUCAUGCCAAGUUAGUGGAUAUUCACGUUAUCAUCCACAAGUUUCUAAAAGAUUGCUCAUUCCUCAUCAGAUUCCCCGGAAAUAUCAUUUUUGUCAAUCCACUUGUACUACCUAAUCUCUAUUAUAUAAAAGAACCCAGUGAUGGUAAUGAAAAUCUCCCAUCACUUAGAGUUGGUGGGAUUUUCUAAGGCUAGAUAAAUAUAUCUGCUUGUUUUUUUUAUGUUUGCUUGCAAAUUAUAUUUGACAAAUAUAAUUUCAAGUCAAGAAUCUCAGAUAUAUCUUUUGAAAUCGGUUGCAAGUCACGGGUACUUUGCUAGUUACUUCCUCUGUUUCGUAAUGUAAGUCAUUCUAGCAUUGUCCACAUUUAUAUAGAUGUUAAUGAAUCUAGACAAUCUAGAUAUAUAUGUAUGUCUAGAUUUAUUAACAUCUAUAUGAAUAUGGACAAUACUAAAAUGACUUACAUUGUGAAACGGAGGGAGUAAUAAAUAUCUAAAGUCAUGGAAAAACUAAUUAAUCUUUCUCAUAAGCACAUUAGGCCUCGUAAGCUGAAAAACAAAUGCCAUCAAAUGCAUGAUUGGAUAAAAUGAUGACCGUCCGAUCAGAUACAUACUCCCUCCAUAAAAAAACAAACCCUAGGUUUCCGUGUCAAAUGUUUGAUUGUCCGUCUUAUAUAAUUUUUUUUAUAUUAGUAUUUUCAUUAUUGUUAGAUGAUAAAACAUGAUUAAUACUUUAUGCAUGACUUGUCUUUUUAAUUUUUUCAUAUUUUUUAAAAUAAGAUGAACAGUCAAAUCUAGGGUUUAUCUUUUUUAAAGGACGGAGGGAGCAUAUGUAUUAUCCCUCCGGAGCCUUCUAGUGCCUCUCCUCGCGCACUUGGCAGGCAUGAAAGAGAACAAGCAACAUAUUUGGGAACUUAAUUGGCGGCAAUUUCAUAAGUUGAGUACUUAUGAAUUUGACACAUGGACCAAAUGAAACAAAUAUUGUCUCUAGUUUUUAAUAUAUGAUGUCAUUGACUUUUAAAUACAUAUUUGACUAUUCAUCUUUUUCAAAACUUUUUUUCAAAUAAAUAAUAUAUAAAUCAUGCUUAAAAUACUUUCAACGAUAAAACAACUCACAACAAAAAUAAACUACAAAUAUGUAAAUUUUUUUAGUAAGACAAAUAGUCAACCGUGUGUUUACAUGUUAAUGAUGUCAUCUAUUAAAAACCGAAGGUAGUAUGAAUUGUUUAUGUAAAAAACAUAGAAAUUCUAUGGCGGUUAUGUAUGUGACCUAUGGGCAACUUCAUAGUAAUAUUUAGGUCAAAGAUCAUUUUAGCUACAAAAGAAAAAAACAAUCUUAAUCUUUAACAAAGAUGGUUUCUCAUGGUCGUGCAAACACGCGACUUUGAGUAGCUAGUAUUUGUGAAAGGACGACGGGUACCAUUAUGUUUUAUAGAAAAAAAAUAUAUUGUCAGCAGGUAAGCGACCCAGAUCGUAGCUGAUCAGCGUGCUUACUUUUUUAAUUAGUAGUUUCAGUUACCAUCGCAUCGUGACUCACGGAGUGUACCUGCUUAUAUUAUUUUAAGUCGAUCAUAAAUCAAAUUUUGAAAUGCAACUAUACGUCGAGCGCCCAAUUCGAGGGUGGAAAAAUCGGACGCCCACAUCAAGCUGACGUCAAAUUACUUUAAACUAUUUUUUCUCUUAAAUUAUUUAUCCAAAUCAUAACCGAAUUGCACCAUUAAAUUCAUUACAAUUAAAUCUUUAAAAUAAGACCACAUAGGGAUAUAUUCCAAUGGAAAAAAUUUAACUUAUUAUUCAAUUAUUUUUAAAUAUUGCACGAUGUUCCACCAAGUAUAUCGAAAUUUGUUUCACUAAGUAAAUCGAAAAUGUUUCAAUCGUUUAAAUCAGGCGUUGUUUCACCUUAUAUGAAAACAAUGUUUCAGUUCACUGCAACCUUUGGUCCAUACAUAGUGAAACAUUAUAAGUAUACUAGGUGAAGCAUUUUUUUUUGGAAAAAAAUGAAACGUAUUCCCUUAUUAAAGGGUUUUCAUAAUACGUGGGUGAUUUGUUGUAAAAGAAUGUUUCAGUUCACUGCAACAUUAGAUCUAUACAAAUAAAACAUUAUUAGUACAUUAUUAGUACACUAGAUGAAACAUUUUUGCUAGAAAAAAAAUAAAAUAAAUUCUGUUAAUAGAGGGUUUCAAAAUAUGUGAGUGAUUUGUCACAACAAAAUAUAUAUAGUGGAGACACGUGACAGAUAAGAUCAAGGACAUGUGGUGGAGAACAGGAGCACGUGACAGGUAAGAUCAAGGACAUGUGGUGGAGAACAGGAGCACGUGCACAUCCGGGGGAGCGUCCGAUUUUACCUGCCCCGCCUGUCGCCCGAGCGCCACGAUUCUCCCAGAUUUUGGCCCCUUUCCAUUAAAAGAACAUGAGAUAUUGUUUUCCAGACAAGGACAGAACAAAAGCAGACUAUUAUCUGUUCUUGCCACGACACAGUACGAAUCUUCGAUGACAAGAGGGCAAGACAAAAAUACGUGGCAAGCAUGCAGCAUCAGAAUACUACCCUUUAAUUAAUCGUAAAAUAAUCAAAUCAAUUCAGCAAAUAUUAAUAUAUAGUCUGUGAGUGAUCUAGCUGAGAUUGAGAAGCGGCUAUUCCACAAUAGUUCGAUCGUCAUCUGAUUGCAGACAUCGCCCACUUUCGCCAACCAAGAGCAGGAAAAUGGCUUCGGAUGGCAGCAGCAAGAAGCUUCGCGUCGUGCUCAUCCCGUUCUUCGCCACCAGCCACAUCGGGCCCUUCACCGACUUCGCCGUCCGCCUCGCCGCGGCAUGGCCGGACGCCGUCGAGGCCACCCUCGCGGUCACGCCGGCGAACGUGCCCGUCGUUCGAUCGCUGCUCGAGCGGCACGGCCCAGCCGGCGCGGGGUCGGUGGCGAUAGCCACCUACCCGUUCCCGGCGGUGGACGGCCUCCCGGCGGGGGUCGAGAACCUCUCCAAGGCGGCGCCCGGGGACGCCUGGCGCAUCAACGCGGUGGCCGACGACGAGGCGCUGAUGCGGCCGGCGCAGGAGUCCCUCGUCAGGGAGCUCCGCCCUGACGUCAUCGUCACCGACGCGCACUUCUUCUGGAACGCCGGCCUCGCCGACGAGCUCGGCGUGCCGUGCGUUCAGUUCUACGCCAUCGGCGCCUUCUCCACCAUCGCCAUGGCCCACCUCGUCGGCGCCGUCAAGGAAGGCGCCAAGGAGGUGACCAUACCUCGGCUCCCCGGCCACGACUUGACGAUCCCGACGACCGAGCUGCUCCAAACCCAAGAACGCCAAUUCGGGGCCAUCAGCCUACUUUGGCGUCGUCGUCAACACGUUCUUGGACCUCGAGGCCGAGUACUGUGAGAUGUACACGCGAGACAAACACGCCAAGCGUGCCUACUUCGUCGGGCCCGUCUCGCCGGCGCCGCCGCCAUUGCCGGCAUCCGGUGAGUCACCAUGCCUCGACUGGCUGAGCUCCAAGCCUAGCAGGUCAGUGGUCUACCUCUGCUUCGGUAGCCUGACCCACGUGUCAGACACUCAGCUCGACGAGCUGGCCUUGGGGCUGUAGGCUGCCGGGAAGCCAUUCCUGUGGGUGGUGAGGACUGACAUGUGGGCCCCACCCGAUGGCUGGAAGGAGAGGGUCGGGGACAGGGGGAUGGUCAUCAGAGGUUGGGCCCCACAAAAGGCGAUACUGGCCCACCCGUCAGUGGGUGCCUUCGUGACGCAAUGCGGGUGGAACUCGGUGCUAGAGGCGGUCAGCGCCGGUGUCCCGGUCUUAACAUGGCCAAUGGUGUUCGAGCAGCUGGAUUUUUCACAUUUUGGUCCUUUUGAAAAACUUAUUUCACAAAUAGACCCCUAGAAAAACUUAUCCCAAAAAUGGUUCUUUGGGGCGCCAGAGUAGCUGGCGCCGUCGUCCAACAGGACGGCGUGGCGCCGUCCCCCUGCCGACGUGGCGGGGCGAUGCUGAGGUGGCUAGGGAGUGCGCCAGAGUGGCUGGCGCCCCCCCACCGGGAAUUUUUUUUUUGUUUUAUUUGUUUGAUAUUUUUUUCACGCUUAGGGACACACAAGAACCAACCAUAGAAAAAUUGAACUCAAAUGGACGUAAUAUGUGACCUGUAGAAUUUUUCCUCUCCUCUCCUCUCUCUCCGAACUAGUGCAAAGGAGAGAUGUGCAACUUUUUUAUUUUUAUUUUAUUUUUUAAUUUUUUUUUCACACUUAGGAACUCACAGGAAUCAACCAUGUAAAAAAUAAACUCAAACGGACAAAAUAUGUGGCAUGUGGAAUUUUCCAAAGUUCUACCGAAAAACUUUUCUCCUCGAAAACACAAUCUUGCAAGCGGAAUUUGGAGGUUUUAAUAUCUCCGAACCCGGCAAAGCUGGGGAGAAUCGGAUGUAACAUUUUCUGUAGAUGUCCGUGCAUAUAUUAUUUGCCUGAUUCCGAGUCCGUAUGAGAAAGUUACGCCUAUUUUAAUAGAUGACAUAUUCUGUCCGUUUCGGUAGAGUUUUGGAAAAUUCUAGUUUGAGUUUAUUUUUUAUACGGUUGGUUCCUAUGUUCUCCUAAGUGUGAAAAAAAUAUCAAAAAAAUGAAAUAAAAAUAAAAAAAAUUGCAUCUCUAUGUACUGUUUAACUUAUAUAUGUCAUUUCAUGUGGUUAUAUUUUGAAUUAGAGUGCAUUAUAUUUAACAUGCUGAUCAAAGGGUUUUACUAAAGGAAUUAUGGUCUAAUUUUAGUGAAGGUGCAAAGUAGACUAAGUGGUAUGCUAGCUAUUUUCAGACUUAGCUAAGUGGUAGUUUGAGUUUAAAUUUUUUUUGUGGUUGGUUGUAUCGUGAUCCUAAGUGUGAAAAAACAUCCGAAAAAAUAAAAUAAAAAUGACACCGUUGCAACUCCAUACAGAGAAACAGGAAUGGAGGCGGCGGCGCCAGCAUGGCUGGCGCCCUCCUCCUGCCACGUCGGUUCGCGUGCGCCACGGUGGCAGGAGGACGGCGCCAGCCUCUCUGGCGCCGUCCCGUUGGAUGACGGCGCCAGCCACUCUGGCGUGAAAAAAGGACCAUUUCUGGGAUAAGUUUUUUUAGGGGUCUAUUUGCGAAAUAAGUUUUUCAAAAAGACCAAAAUGUGAAAAAUCCAGGUUCGAGCAGUUCGUCACCGAGAGGCUCGUGACGAAGGUGCUCGAGAUCGGAGAGCGCUUAUGGCCGGAGGGCGCCGGAGUACGAAAUACCAAGGAUGAGGAGAAGGAGGUCGUCCCCGCGAAGGCGGUGGCGGAGGCCGUGACGAAGUUCAUGGAGCCAGGAGGGGCAGGGAGGCGGCGAGAUGCGCCAUCAAGGAGCUCGCCGUGAAGGCUAAUGCCGCCGUAGCAGAAGGCGGCUCAUCGCACCGUGAUCUGCUCCGCCUUAUCGAUGAUCUCAUGCAAGCCAAGUAAUGGUAAUGCUUGUAAGAUAAACCAGCUCUGUUUUAAAAUAUUUGUUGCUCUAAAUUUGUUGUAAGUUAAUUGGCCAUCAAUUUCUAUGAACUCAUACAGUUUACUAUCAUAAGAUUAAUAUUUUUAAAUUCACCAUAAGAAAUGCUUUCAUAAUAUAUAAUUUACAUUUACAUGCCGUUGAACUAUAUAAUUUUUUCAAAAUUAAUGGUUAAAAAUAGACAUGUUUGACUUUAGACAGAUCUAAAAUAGCAAGUAAUUUGAAAUGGAAAGAGUAACCUUUUUGUUCUAUUUGAUGCAUUGAGCUCCUGAGUUUAUCAGAUUUAUGUUUAAAAGACGAGCUGUUUUACUUUUACCUCAAGUUACAGCUCACUGCAACAUCUACUGAUCAAUUCGCUCAGAUGCAGCCUGAACCACUUCCCAAACUGUAGCAGUUCACUGAAACAUAGGCUAUGUUUAGUUCGUACUAAAAUUGAAAGUUUGGUUAAAAUUAAAACGAUUUGAUGGAAAAAGUGAAAGUUAAUGUGUAGAAAAGUUUUGAUGUGAUGGAAAAGUUGGAAGUUUGAAAAAAAAAAUUUGUAACUAAACACGGCCAUGCUGAUGAAUUCACUGCAACACUGACCUCUAAGAAAGAUCAUUGCUUCUCCUCUCUUCCAGUCGCAUUGGAACGCCCAGGAGAAAUCUAACCAACUUGGCUGUGUUCGUUAUAGGAGGUUGGGAAACGAAACGGUUCAUUAGCACGUGAUUAAUUAAGUAUUACCUAUUUUUUUAAAAGAAUGGAUUAAUCUGAUUUUUUUAAAGCAACUUUCGUAUAGAGUUUUUUUUUUUAAAAAAAAAACGCAUCGUUUAGCAAUUUAAAAAGGGUGCGCGUGAAAAAUGAGGGAGAAGGGUUGGGAACAAUCUCAUACGAACGCAGCCUUAGGUCACCGGUGAAUUGGUCGCCAUGAGAUUGUACAGCACUAAAUACCUGGAUAUGAGAACUUUCACUGUACAAUAUACUUGUGGUAUAUACUGUUAGUAUAAACGAUCUAUACUUGUGAUAUAUACUGUUAGUAUAAACGAUCUAACGGUGUAUAUUGAUUUAAUUUUCCACCUAAAAUAUAUGCUAGUAUAAAAUUUACAAGGGUUUCCCUAGAAAAAGUAAAACUUACAAGGGUCAGGAAUUAAUUUAGAUAAAAAAGUUUCGGUACCCGCAUCGAGUUGUAUGAAUGUGUUUACCUAGCUAGGAAUGUUCAGAACGUGUAAGGCAUUUCACGCACAUCUGUUAUGUUACACCUUACAUUACGUGAUCGGUAAUUGGUCACUUGUAAUCAAAGUAUGUAAAAUUUUAAUGAUGAUUAAGGAAUUGUGCCACCGCAACACGCACCAUCAUCUCUCACAGGCGUACAAAUGAAAUCCAGCAGCGAUGCCGGCAGCCUGACAUGUGAACGAGUCCCAAUUAGACCGGAAUAACUCUUAACCACAGAAUUCAAUUUUCUAUAAAACUUCUAAUUUACCCAUCUAUAUACUAGCACUACAAUGUAAAAGUUCUCCAGUAAAAUAUGCACAAACAUAUCAUGGAAAUUACAAUAAUCGUUUUUUUGAAAAAAAAAGUUAAAAAGGAUCAAUGAAGUUCUCCGUCUGCUUGGCGCCUUUUUUCCGCAUACUUUACGGCAACAUCUCUGUUCCUCUGUUCUCAUUCAAGAUAAUAAAAGUUAGUGCAGAACUUCCCCAACAGAAAAAUGCAUGUGCAGCUAAAAUCAGAAAACAAAAAAUGAAAUGACCAAGUGCAUUUUUUGCCAAAAAAAACACAAUUUGUGAUAAAGACUACUUGUUAAUACACAAUUCUCCAGGUAGUUUUUUUAUUUUGGAAAGAACACUAAUUACUGUGCAAAUAAUUACCGAGAUAACUAGAUACUACAAAUUACAAAGAGUAAUGACUGAGGAAGAAGGUAUUAGUUGCUUCAUGAAUGGCAAAUGCAGCAGCUAAUCACUUACUGGAAAUCGAAUGACUACUUGAAAAUUGAAUGAGCAAUUGGGACAGUUCUAAAGUAGAGAGUUAGGGAAUUACCUGCUUUAUAGCGUUGAGAGACACAUCUGGAUCAUUACUAAUGAACCUCCCAUGAGCAUUCCGCUGAGCAAUGUACAGGUUCCAGUCGAACUCGCGACGGAGAUCCAUGCGCCUGAAGUGUUCAUCCGUCCAGCCCGCGUAUCUCGUACGACCAAAAGGGAGGCCCUUUGCGUCUUCGGUCUCAUCGAGCUGCUCCGCAGCUUCGUUCAAAAUACUGAGAUAAACACGCCAGUUAAUUUUGCCAUCUUUGAACAGGUACCCGCAUCCUCCUCAGCAUCACCAGCUGCUGGCACUGCUGCUACAGUACACAUGAACAACAUUAGGUCACAAGAAACAGGAAUCCCAUCCGAGGCGACUCCAAAUUCAUCAUACCUGAAUCCGAAUCCUCUGUGUUCUUGUCGAGAUGCAGAACUGCGACCAACCCUGCCAACGCACCACUGUAGAAUACUCGCCUCCCCGUCGCCGCCGCCGCCGCCUGAAUAGAGAGCCCCAGCCAGGGCUCCGCCUGCGCCUGCGCGCGUGGCGAGAGCCUCCGGGUGAGGAGCGAACCGAGGGUCCGGAGGGCCAUGGCCGCCGGCCGGAGUGCGCGCCUUCUUCCUCCGACGACUCGAAUUCCUCUUCGCCCUCUCCUCCGCCGCCGCCGCGCGCCUCGAUUCGAUUUCUUAGUGGUUCAUGGGCUUGAUUGAUGGGUUUCGCUUCCGAUUUCCGAUUGACACGGCUUUGGAGAGGCGUUGGGGGGCCAAAAUAUAGGAUAGGAGUCCGGUUUGCCUCCCUCAAGUGUAGCUGCAGUCUGAUUCGAAUAACUAAACCCUCAACUGUAGUCACAGUCUGAUUCGUAUCCUUAACUGUAAUAAAAACUGUAAUCUCUUCUUUUAUAAAAAUUAAAGGUGUUUCCGUGUUCCAUCAUCCGUGUUUGAGUCGAUUAUAAAAAUUGAAGAUGUUUAUGUGGUUUGUUAUCCGUGUUUGAGUCGGUUUUAAUUUUAUGUUUUGGUUUUAAUCUAUAUCUCUUCUUUACUAUUAUAGAAAUUAAAGAUAUUUUUGCCAGUAUUUUGGUACGUCAUCCGCGUAUGAGUCAGUUUUAAGUUCGUUUGCUUUUGGAAAUACAUAUCCGUAUUUGAGACGGUUUUUAAGAUCGUUCACUUUUGGUAAUACAUAAGGAAUCAUAUAAGAAAUCUGUUUAAAAAAGGAUAAUCGAACUCCUAACUGCAGCUUAUGAUUUUCUAAAAAUAUAUAUAUCCAAGCGAACUCCCACAGUGAAUUUCAUCUUAACUAAACCAUAUAAUAAUAAUAAGAUUAAAAUAAACUUCACCUGUUGCAAUGCACGGGCAUUUUUUCUAGUAAAAUAAUAUAAUAAAGCUUCCUUUAACUAUUAAAACCGAGUUAAUUUAACCUUCCGUAAGGGUUUCCCAUCAUUCUGAGCCUGCACAUUUUGCCACCCAUUUAUAGGGAAAAUUGGAGCCAUGCCAUUAUAAUUUUGCAAAAUUUAAGAUAUGCCAUCCUGACCCACAUGUCAUUGACUCAUGUGGGUCCUACAUGUCAUUGAGAUACCGAUGACAUAUCUCAAACUUUACAAAAUUAUAAUGGCAUGGUUCUAAUUUACCUUUUUUAUAUCACAUGAAUGCAUGAACUCAAAAUCAUUGCAGUUCACUGCAACAUCUACGGACGAAUUCACUGCAACACUGACAUAGAGAAAGAUCAGUUUUAGGCUCAGGUAUUACAAAUUUUGGCCUUCAGAUCAAAGCCAAACAACUACGUGUCAGUGUACAUAAUUUUGGCCUGUGGACAAAGCUCGUGAAUUGUCAAUUUUUGUGUUUAAACCACGAACUGUUUUACGAAUUAAAUUUGAAAAUACAUUGUUCAUUCAUUUUUUUCUUAGGAAUAUUCGGGAUGCAAAAUCUUUUGCAGAAAUAUACCGUCUAUCUCGCAUAACCGUUGCGCGAAAAUGACGUGGGAAUAACGUUGCGGACGGUAUCACUAAGUGAAAACGCGAGACCGCGCGGCCUCACGGAAUGGAAGAGCGAUCAAGCAAUCAACGAUACCGGUGCCAUGCGGUCUCGCUCAAGCAAUCAACGAUAAUCCGUAAUCCAGAUAAUUAAUCACUAAUUAUUAUUAUUAGUUAAUUGUUAAUGAAGUAAUUAAUAACUAAUCAAAUGGAGUCGUUGGACAAUGGACUGUCGCUGAUUGCUUGAGCCGGUCUCGCUCUUCCAUUUCGCGAGGCCGCGCAUGGUCUCGCGCUUUCACCGCGUGAUACCGUCCGCGAUGUCAUUCCCACGUCAUUUUCGCGUAAUAGUUGUGCGAGACAGACGGUAUAGUUCUGAAAAAAAAUUUGUAUCCCGAAUAUUCCUGAUAAAAAAUUGAAUGAACAAUAUAUUUUCAAAUUUAAUUCACAUGGAAGCAUAUGAACUCAUCAAACUCGUUAUGGUUCACUGCAAACUUCUACUGGCGAAUUCGCUCAUAUGCAGUCUGAACGAAUUCUCGAAAUCGUAAAAUUACAUGAAAACAUCUGCUACUGUCGAAUUCAUUCAGAAAAGAAAAAAAAAUCUAGUACUGAUGAAUUCACUGCAACAAUGGCCUCGAGAAAGAUCAUUGCUUCUUCUCCUUCCUUCCUCCGGUGACAUUGGACACGAGCCCCCGGAGGAAUCUUGCCGACUUGGUCACCGGCGAGUUUGCGGCCAUGACGUUGUACAGCAUGGUCUCCACCUCGCCGAUCGUCGGCCGCCGCUUCAGCCGCGACACCACCUUGAACUGCUCCGACGCCGGCGCGGCGGCGUCGUCCUCCACCAUGAGCACCCAGCUCUCGCCGCCGAACCUGCCGCCGUCGACGCACCGGAGCAGCACACCCUUCUUCUUGCUCAGAAGGCCCCUCACCUCCAGCCCCGUGAAGGAGUACACCACGCUGAAGGAGCCCACGAAUCCCCUCGCGCCGCCGGCGAACCCCUCCUCCUCCUCGUCGAAGCUCCACGCCGGGUUGAACAUGACCACCGGCUUGGUGUCCAGCGCGUCGGCGGCGGCCUUCAUCUUCUCCACCUGCGACCGCCCGGGCGCCAGGAACACGGCGGCGUCGCAGCUGCUCAGCGCGUCGGGCGCCACCGCGUCGAGCUGCGCGUGCGCCGUGGAUUCCCCCCAAUCAUGGGGCUCCCGUAGAGCCACACCCAUCUCCUCGGAGGACGGCCACACGAGCAGCAGCCUCGCCGGCGCGCCGCCGCCGCCGCCCUUCCUCGACAAGCCGAGGCCCGACGAGAACACGUCGGAGGCGAGGCGCGCGAGGGAGCCCGGCGAGUCGUCGACGACUGGUAUCUCGGCGCGGAACCGCGGCUGCCGCUGCUGCUUCCUCUGCUUGCCGAGCGGCUUGCGCAGCGCGGCGGCGAGGCAGGACCUCGCCUGGGACACGGCCUCCUCCCUCGACGACGGCGGCGAGGGGGCCGCGCCCGCCUGCGUGGACGACGAGGAGCGGACGGGUCGCGGCGGCUGCUGCUCGCGGAGGAGCAGCGAGAGAUGGAGAAGAGAUCGCUGCCGCUGCGGUGGCGCGAACUGCCGAGAUGGUGGCGGGAACGACGGUUUGGGCGCGAGUUUGGAGGGAGGAGUGUUCAGGAAGCUCAAGGCCAUUGGCGCCAGAAGCUUCGCUGCCGGGAGGAGAAGAUAAGGUGGCUGCUUGCUUUUGACAUAUCAACUGCUCUAGUAUCAGUAUGUCUCAUUGGCCAUAAUUUCUUCAGAGAUUCAGUGCUCAAGCUAGCCUUUUUUUUUUUUUCACUUAGAUGUGAUUACAAAGAUGGUUAUGACUAACUGACAGCAUGCUAUGCUUAACCUUUGUAUUGAGGCAGACUUUCAACAUCACAAAAUGGGCAACGAAUUCCAUCAUUAGUCACUGAACUUCAGCCAACAAUGAACAGUCAGUGUGAAGAAUACACAUAUUGAAGUGCUUCAUCAAAUGAGCACACCGAGGAUUAUAUAUGUCGAGAAUGCUUGUACCCACACAAACUACAAUAAUUACAAACAAAUAAUUUCAUAUUCUCAGUGUCAUUGGACUGUCGAGCAUGAGUUAGCGUAAGCAAAGCAUUAAGCUGAACCAGGAAUGCUGAAUUUGCAGGUUUUGAACCAUGAUAAAAAGUUAUUCGGUUCCCAGACUCUCAACUCAGGCUGUGUUUAGAUCCAAAGUUUGGAUCCAAACUUCAGUCCUUUUCCAUCACAUCAACCUGUCAUACACACACAACUUUUCAGUCACAUCAUCUCCAAUUUCAACAAAAAUCCAAACUUUGCGCUGAACUAAACACAGCCUCAGAUGAAUAUUUCAGGAACAGAACUUGUCAAGGAUUCCAGGGUUGGGUCAUGAGAAGCAGCGUUUCCUUGCAUAGGCAGAAAGUGGUAUGUACAAAAUCAUGCGAAACAUUAUAGGAACUAUUCAAGUCAAAUUACAGGUCAUGCCUCAAACAAUGAGGUAGAUAUUCAUGUUCUUAAUAUUCAAAUUCAAGCAUUGUUCACUAGAGGUUCAGAUUCCAAUUUGUUCAGAUUCCAAUUUGGUAAUCGAUUUACGGUUGCCAUGCAACCUGUGGCCCUACAGUAGAUGUUCAUUCAGUGAGGUAUCUUCAGAAAACAUUCAUGCCAUCAGCCAUGUCAACAACUCAACAUAAGAAACAUGAGGCUGUUCAGAAUCCCACUCCUAGGGGAGUAACCACAAGAGUAAAACAAGUUACAGUUAAGAAUUGUGAUGGCCAGUUUCAUAAUUCAACAAGGCAACUUCACUCAACAAAUCAUCUAAGCAGGUAAUAGCUCACCUCGUUUUGUGUAUCUUCUCAAUCUUCUCAAUCCCCUUCUCCUCAAACUCACCCUAAGUGACCAAACCCGACAGCAUGGACAAAUGAACCCUCAGAAAGCCAGAAUCAGGUGCACUAAUUGAUCCAUUGGUUGGGGAUUAGAACAUCAUCUUAUUGCUAGUCAGAUAUUCGGAUGACAAAGAAACAACUUAGUAUUUUUAACAUGUGCUACAAUUUAGUUCCCAGGGGCGGAAAUUCAGAAAGGUUGCAGGAAGAGACACCAGCACGACAUAUAACAGAAUAUAUGUGAUCAACGACUCAACGAGGAAAUUGGUGGUUAAAUGCAGGGCUAUGUGAUCAACGAGGAAAUUCGUGGUUAAAUCGAGGGCUAUGUGAUCAACGUUUGAUUUCUUUCCUUCUGAAUGAAUAAAUUGUAUAACAUUCACUUCCUACAUAAAUUGAGUUUUCUGAAAUUAGGCCAACAUUACCCACGAAUUCCAGUGUUGUGGACCUGCUAGUAAACUGCAAGCUUCUAUAAUCCUAGCGAGCACACAAAUUCGAAAGCUUUCGUUGGUGUCAAGUGAACUCAUCUACAGCAGAAUACAAAAUCAAACAUGAUAGCUCAAAUCUUAUCAAGAUACUCAUCAACAACUCAAGUUUUAUUUCAAGAUAACGCCUGGGUAGCUGAUACAGGUAUGCAGACGAAAGAUCACACCUAUAUUACUCAUAAUAUAUAAAACCUGGUACAGCUCAAGAUGCCCAGGUGCCGGAGCAUGUGGGAUGCUCAGAAGACGAUGCGGAACUGCGGCGCGCCCUCGCCGGCGGCCGGGACGAGCUCCCAGCGGCAGGGCUCGAGGUCGUCGGACACGGGGCAGUACCCCGCGAGCGUCACGGCGGCGCCGGACUCCGCCGCCGACCCGAACUCGAAGACGGUCGCGUCCGCCUGCCGCUGCCGCCGCAGCACCUCCACCGCCCCCUGCGUGCCCCCGGCCGCCGCGACCUCCGCCACACCCGCGCCACCCGCUCCCUUCGCCGGCUCCGGCGAGCCGCCGCCGCCCCGCCGCCACCACGAGAAGAGCCCCAUCUGGAUUAGGGAAAUAUUAGGGUUUUUGGACUUUUUGGUGGGCGAAAAAAAAAUCUGAAAGAAGAAGAGAUCGUGGAGAUAUCACUACCCAGUGGGCCCCACAUGUCAGCCUCUCCACAAGUUUUUAACUAAAGCUAUAUGGGCUUGUGAGUUGUGAUGCGAUGGGCUUCUGGGCAGCCCAGUAGGAAGAAGCGGCCCACGGAGAUUAGUCGUCGUCGUCGUCGUCUCCCUCGCAUGGCAAAUGCAGUGGAAAUCUCCAGAAAAAGGAAAAAAAGGCGGGAAUCACAUCGUCUACUACCUCCAAACGGAAUCACACCUCUCAUCCUCUGCUUUCCGCAAAAGCCAUCACCACCACCACCACCGCCUCUUCUUCCUCCUCCUCCGCGUACAAGAACCUCUCCCCGCGUGCGCCCAGCACACACACCUGCGCCUCAUCUAGACAGGCAGUCGAUCGAUCAGUCAGUCGCCAUCAAUGCCGCCGCGGCGGGGGAUCGAGGUCCGGCAGGCGGUCGGCGACGGAGCAGCGCCGAGGUGGCGCAUGUCGCUGCUGGAGAACACGUUCAGCUCGUUCCUGCAGUCGAUCGGCGGCGGCGUGGCGGCGGACGGGGCGGCGGCGAGGGCCGUGUUCGGGGAGGGGUCGCUGUUCAGCCCCUUCCUGUUCGGCAAGUUCUUCGACCCGGCCGACGCCUUCCCGCUGUGGGAGUUCGAGCCGGAGGUGCUGCUCGCCGCGCUCCGCCGCGGGGCCAGGACCACCGUCGACUGGGCCGAGACGGACUCCGAGUACUACCUCAGAGCUGACAUACCAGGUAAAUUCACCAUCUCGAGUACUGGCUUUGAUUAAUUUCUCUCCUGUUUUUCUCCAUUUCUGCGUAGUUAAGGUCCAUAUCUGCUUUCUGUUUGUGCAUAUUGUGAUUAGUUCUCAUCACUAAUCUUGUUAGUAAAAAUUAAUGAGUAUAGCAUGUUUUAGUUUGUGUAUGCUCUUCCUUAGUUCAUAGAUUAUCUUCUUUAGCAUGUUUUAGCACGUUCUGAAGGGAAAAAAAACUGAGUUAACCUUACACAUUUGUCAGAGAUUAUCUUGCUUGUGCGCAAUCCAAUCUUCAGGUUAACUGGCAGGAACAGCUGAGCCUGAUAAAUGUUUGUACUUUGUACUAGUGUUGCUGGAUCAAUUUUCUGAAACAGAAGUUCUUGCAAAGAGUGCACCAAAUUAAUUCACAUGCCGUAUUGCUAUCAGCAAGAACUUCAGAAUCAGAUUCAGAUGCCACGGAGACAGGGAGUUUUUUCAACUUCCUGUAGGAAACCAAACAGUUGACAUUUGCUAGAAGUAGCCGGGUUAUACCAGAGGAUAAAACUUGCAACAUGAAAGUAACUAGGGUCAUGUGGUUUCCCCCUUUUUCUUCCUGCGCUUUUCUCUGCUUUUUCACUACAGUAACAUUGCGAUCUCGCUGUCUCUGAAUUUACAUAUUCUUUGCGUCUGGUUGCGGUGCACCAUCCACCAUGGUCCAAAAAAAAGCAGACAUUUUUUUAAUCAGAUGAGGAAGAGAAAAAAGCAGUCAUGGCGUGUGCCGGACGAUUACGAAACCCUAAAAAGAACCUAAUCGCUUUCACAUUAUUGUAGUGAAACUAGUGAUCGAGUUAAUCAAGAAGCAACUGCUGAGAGACUAGCCAACUGAUUUUUGUUCAGGUGGGAGGAAAUGCGACGUGGAGGUGAGCGGCGACGACGCCAUGAGGGUGGUCGACGUCAGCGGGCUGUGGCGGGCGGCGCCGCCGCCGCCUCCGCCGGACGGCCGGGACUGGCGCGCCGGGCGGUGGUGGGAGCACGGCUUCGUCCGGCGCGUCGAGCUGCCGGAGGACGCGGACUGGAGGAAAGUGGAGGCCUUCUUCGACGACGGCGAGGGGUUGCUCGAGAUCAAGGUGCCCAAGUCCGGCGACGCCCACCAAGCGGCGGCCGCCACCGCCUGAGAAUCCUAACCUCGCCGGCGUCGCCGCGCGAUUGGAGAGAGCAAAUUAUUCUUCUUCUGAGUUCUGACAGUGACGGUGAAGAUGGCACAAAACUUGAUAAGAAUUUCUCAAAGAUAUGGAGGGACCAAAAAGUGAGCAAAGAUCAUCUCACACAUGUUGCAUAUGCAUUAACGUCCAAUCCAUGUGCCUGCAGAUGAUUUGUACUAGUACUAAUGUGUUAGCUUACCGUUAAAAAUGGAUCAUUAAUUAGCAUCGUGCAUAUGCAUCAGCAUCACAGUCACAGCAUCGCUGUCGAAUUGGUCGACGAUAAAAUGGGUCAUCGAGAUCAUAAAUUCGAUUCCGGAAUACAUGAACAUAUAUACAUAUCUAGGUCGCUGCUUUGAGAAAGUUGGAUUCUUCCAUUUUCUUUCGGCCAUGAUGUCUCGCUAUCACCCCGUUCUUUUUUCUCUCCCAGUGGCGGCAGAUGAGAAUCGGAAUUGACGAAAGCAAGACUGCUUUUUCUUCAGAUCUUCAGGUAAUUGUACCGCGUCGAAACUUUGAUUGGCCUGAUGGCUGAUGGCACUCAUCAUUUUGGUCACUGGAUUGCUUUAGAUUUUUGGUCACUGGAUUGAUUUAGAUUUUCAGCAAAUAAAUAAAAAAAAUAAAAAAGCAUUUUUUUUCACUCUCAGUGCGCACCUGGCAGUUGUUCGGUUUUUUUGUAUCACUGUAGCCUGAUGCCCUAUUAACUGAAUUCUCAUGCCACUCGAUUAGAUGAACAUGUCGACAAGUGUCACUAGGAACUCCCUGUUCUUUCCGAUUCUUUAUCAGCAGCUUUUACUGGUGCAUCAUGUAUGGUAUCCUGGAGUAAUCUGUACUGGCAAAUGACAAGAAAGUGCAACCUGUGAAGUAUCAGUACAGGUGGCUCCUAUAAACCGGAGCUGAAUUCCAUGUCCUUUUGCUCUGUUUCUCCAACCUAACGUUCGUCAAAAUCAAUGAGAAAAAGACAGAGAUACGACAAAGCAGGGAAACAAACAUACCCCAAAUUGUGUUUCAGUCACGCUCAGAGAUGCUGAAUCCUGUGGAUUUUACCCAUCUAGAAUUGGCCUACAUGCUCGUUGUGUUCUUGGAGAGACCGCCCCUGGGAUAGAAAAUUGGGGUGCAGUCGUGCAGAGAAUGACAGGUUCAGGUUAUGUUUAUUGGGGAAUUUCAGCCUGUAUCUGAACUGACAAACAAGAGUCUGGCCGGCUAUGGUUGCUUCCGCAGUCACCUUCUCACGGGCUAAUAAUGCAGAUAAUAUUUUGGUUCUUGAGAAAACAACGAGGAAUGCCAUAUUUUUUAUGUAAAAUUUAGUAUCUUACUUUAACUAAUCAUCUGAGUUAUGGAGGUAUUGAGAGACUAAGAGGCCAAAUUCUACACUGAAAAAUGUGAUACAUAAUACCUCUUCGAAUACAAUAAAGUCACGCAAUAAUGUAACUACUAGUCUACUACAAAUAAUCAUCGUGAAAGUGAAACAUAUCAGAUACAGUUACUAAGCUGACUGAUACAAACAUGAACAAGAACUGUCUGAAUUGAGCUUCUCCUUUGAGCUUUUUGGUCAAAUGAUUUGGGGACUCCCUUUGUAGUUUGAUCAGGCCAGUAUCAAGAAGCCACGUAUUUUACUCCCUCUGUUUUCCUAGAUAGUACUUCCUCCGUAUCAUAUUAUAAGACUUUUUAGCAUUGCUCACAUUCAUAUAUAUGUUAAUGAAUCUAGACAAACAUCUAUAUGAAUGUGGGCAAUGCUAGAAAGUCUUAUAACCUGAAAUAGAGGUAGUAGAUAAUUUGUUACCAUUGAUCAUCACUUUUUCAAUUUUGACCAGUACAAUAAUUAUUGUUAUAUGGUUAGUCUAUGAUGAAUGAAAGUUUAAUACCUAUACACUUUGAUAAUUUGGUAUCUUUUAAAGUACUUAUUCUUUUUUUUGGAAAAAAAAGAAGAAAAAUUGUCAAAGUUGAAAUGUGAAUAGUACCUUGUACUCUCUCCUCGAGACUUCAUAAUAUCCCAAACGUAUCUACCAUAAUAUUAGCACACCAAAUCUCAUACUAGUAUAUAAUCAAAGCACAAUCAGACAAGGAUGUUGUGGAUGACAUCACAAUUGUCUUUUACCCCAUGGAAAGAGUCCAAAGGGAUAUCCUAUUUUUCUACAAGGAAAUGAAAAGAGGAUCUUUCACAGUGGUCCUAUAAGUAGGGACCAUGUCAUUCCAACAAGCAAACCAAAACAGCCUUGCAAGCUUCUCAAUCCACUUCACUAAUCACUAACCUUGCAAAUUUUCACAACUCCAAAGAGCAAAACUAAAUUGUACGAGGUAGCAAAGCAACCCAAUCCUUCAGCAAAAAAUGAUCCUAACUUGCCCAAUGGACACUUGACAAGUGUCGCGGAUCGCAGCCAUCGGAUGCAAUUUGAUUGGCUCUUGAUCAGCCUCCGGAUCGUGUAGCGCAGUGGUGGCUAGCACGUAGGUAGCAACAAAGCCAUGGACAUGGAGCAUGAGCUCAGGGGCGGCGGCGUCGGGGCGGCGGCGCAUGGGCAUGGCUCCAUCUGCUUCUCCGGCGGGCCGGUGCUCGUCGACGGGCGACGCAUCCAGCAGCUGCUCCUCCACUGCGCCGCCGCGCUCGAGUCCAACGACGUGACGCUGGCGCAGCAGGCCAUGUGGGUGCUCAACAACAUCGCCUCCUCGCAGGGGGACCCCAGCCAGCGGCUCACGUCGUGGCUGCUCCGCGCGCUCGUCGCCCGCGCGUGCCGUCUCUGCGCGGCGGCGCCGGCGGGCGCCGCCGUGGAGUUUCUGGAGAGAGGCCGGGCACCGCCGUGGGGGAGGGCCAUGUCGGUGACGGAGCUCGCCGACUACGUCGACCUCACCCCGUGGCACCGGUUCGGCUUCACGGCGUCCAACGCCGCCAUCCUCCGCGCCGUGGCCGGCGCAUCCGCCGUGCACGUCGUCGACCUCAGCGUCACGCACUGCAUGCAGUGGCCGACGCUCAUCGACGUGCUGUCCAAGCGGCCCGGUGGCGCGCCGGCGAUCCGGAUCACCGUGCCGUCCGUGCGCCCCGCCGUCCCGCCGCUUCUCGCCGUGUCGAGCUCGGAGCUCGGAGCCCGGCUCGCCAUCUUCGCCAAGUCCAAAGGCGUGCAGCUGGAGUUCAACGUCGUCGAGAGCGCGACGACGACGUCUCCGAAGAAGACGUCGACGACGCUGUGCCAAGAACUCGCGUCCGUGCUGUCCGACCCGCCGUCGCUGGGGCUAAGGGACGGCGAGGCGGUCGUCGUGAACUGCCAGAGCUGGCUCCGGCACGUCGCGCCGGACACGAGGGACCUCUUCCUCGACACGGUCCGGGCGCUGAACCCCUGCCUGCUCACCGUCACCGACGAGGACGCCGACCUGGGCUCCCCGAGCCUCGCGUCGCGCAUGGCGGGCUGCUUCGACUUCCACUGGAUCCUGCUCGACGCGCUCGACAUGUCGGCGCCCAAGGACAGCCCGCGGCGGCUGGAGCAGGAGGCGGCCGUCGGGCGGAAGAUCGAGAGCGUCAUCGGCGAGGAAGACGGCGCCGAGCGCUCGGAGCCCGGCGCGAGGCUCGCCGAGAGGAUGAGCCGGAAAGGGUUCGCCGGCGUCGUGUUCGACGAGGAGGCGGCGGCGGAGGUGCGACGAUUGCUGAGCGAGCACGCCACGGGGUGGGGCGUGAAGCGGGAAGACGACAUGCUGGUGCUGACGUGGAAGGGGCACGCCGCCGUGUUCACCGGCGCUUGGACGCCCAACUAGUUGAGCCUAGCUUAGCAAUCUACAGUAUACAUCAAGUGAUUAAAGCUUAAGCUGGUGUUAGACUGUCUAUUAGCUCAGAAGUGACAACGGAGAAUCAACUGAGGAGGAAUUUCUGGUUGGAUUUAGUGGAUCGUUUUAAACUUCUACUUCCAUGACAAGAUAUUUCAGUUGAAUUCUUGAUGUUUUACUCUCAAUCUAGAUUGUUUUAGAUCAAUUAUAAACAUGCACCUCCCCCAAAUUAAUAUCCGUGAAUUACUGUUGGAAUCGAAAUAUUUUCUGGUGAGAAUGAUGAUUCAGAGGGAAAAAAACGGACGUGAGUUUGGAUGCUUAAUUGGGUUUAGGCCCAUUAUAUUGAAGCCUACACUAAAAUUCACAACCCAAUCCAAUUAUAAUUGGCCCAAAAGUUAUACAUCAUGUAAGAUUCAUAAGGCCCAAUAAUUAUUGGGCCGUGAUGAGCACGAUCCAAUUGCUACCCACAAGGCCACAAAUCCAAUCCCAUGGUCGCCCCAACCACCACCGCUGCAUCGCCGCCGGCGAUGGACCGGCGAGUCCAGCGGCUGGUCAGCGGCGUCGCCGCCGCCGCGGCCACCGUCUCGCUCCUGUACCUCAUCUCCCACGCCUCCACCUCCUGCUUCCCCGGCGCCACGACGCUUCCCCUCGCCCGCUUCCCGCGAACCUCCUGCGACGCCGCCUCCCGCCGCGUCGUGCCGCCGGGCCGCCGCCUCGCGAAGCUCCGCGCCUCCGCGCGCUGGCGCCGCCGCUCCGUGGCACUGGCAUCCUCCUCCGCAUUCGCCUCGCUCCGUGGCCUCCGCCUUCUAGCUGGCUCCUCCCGUGCCCUCUGCCUGGCCGCCGGCGCCGGCCACGCCGUCGACGCGCUCCGCGCCGAGGGGGUCGGUGACGUCACCGGGAUCGACUUCGUCGACUUCCCGCCGCUCGUUCGCCGCGCUGACCCCCACCACCUCCCCUUCUCUGACGGCGCCUUCGACCUCAUCUUCUCCGACGACCCCGCGGGGUUCUCCGGCGCCCUCUUCCCGUCCAGGUUCGCCGCGGAAGCCGAGCGCGCCGUCCGUUCUGGAGGCACCAUCGCGCUCGCCGUCGAUCGGCACCUCGAUCCGUCGGCCGUCGCGGUGCUCUUCAAGAGGUCCCGCAUUGUAGACCAGAGGGAUCUCACCAUGGAUGGAUCACAGGUUAGGAUGCUCAUCUUCCAGAGUAAUGGCACUACCUUGAACUCGCAUUAAUUCGUUUAUCAUUGAUUGAUGCCAUGUUAUGCUAAUUACUGUUUAUGUUCAUGUUGUAAUGUUAGAUGCGUGUAUAAAACUAAGCUCCGAUUAUGUGUAAAUUAAGCAAGGAAAAAUGUGACAUUAUCUAAUGCCAGUUGAUGUGCAUGAAUACUACCAUGGACCCAUGAUUUUCCUUCAGCCAUCACUUUUAUUUUGCUGCUACAAAAUACUAAAUCAGCAGCUACCAAAGCUACCAUUUCAUCAUAAAAAACAUGUGCUGAAGCCUGAAAUUGCUACUUAACAGACGAUACUGGAAUGCCCUCUAAAUAAUAACACAACCCAAAAGUUUCAUUUUUUUCCGAUGUACUUGUUAUGCGCUGCAAUUAGGAUAAACAUCAAUAAACUUAACCCUGAGUAUGAAGCUUCUUGGAGUUUGGCCAGUCCAUUUUCUUCGCUGCGACUGGUCACUUGUUGCUACAAGCUGCUUACUACGAUAGUUGAUUGAGAGACGUUAGUAGUUAAUUAAGCUAUUUGCAUCUGGCGCCACUGCCACACUUUGGAAGGAGAAAAGCAUAGUAUCUACUAUAAUACUACUUGAACACAGUGAAGAAAAUGGCUCACAUAUGAUAUCUUAAGAUCUUGUGCAAUCCUUUAAUGGCGUCACUAUUAAACAGGACAAUUUCUGAUAGGAAACUAAUCAUAAAUCAGUAGAUUUCCUUGUAUGGAGUAAGCAUUUAGUUAUCUAUUCUUCUUUCACUAACUUUUGGAGAGUGGUACCCUGCUAAGUGUUUAGAUUAGCAUCGAAAUAUAGGCAUAAGCAAUAUUGUCCUCAUUUCAGAAAACAAUGCAGGUCAAUGUUCACCAAGGUGCCAAGCCCUAAUCAGAAUGUGGGAUUACAUAACAGUGUCUAGCUCCUAAUUUGCGAUAGGACUAGGAUCAUUCACCUAGCUGGGAUGCAGAUCAGAAUGUAGGAUUACAUAACAGUGUCUCUUGCUUUUCAUCUUUCCAUGCAUUCUUCAUUUUGCAUAUUUGGAAGAAAUUAUUUUAUUAGAGUAAAGGCCAGAAGGCCAUGCUUUUUCUGAAAGCGAGUAGUUUUGCAGAGUUAUGCUGGGGUUACCAGCUUUACAUUCAACCCAGAGCACACAAGGCAAAAAGAGGAGGGCAACCAAAAUGCCAGAAAGCAGGGUAGAAAAACAGCUUAUAUCUAAUCGAAGCAGAAAAAACCACAACCAACUCCAGAACAGUACUCCUUAAGCAGUGAACAGUCUCUUGCAACGCUGCUAUCAGGGACUCCAAGGAACUGAAGGGAACAAUCUCACACUGUCUCAGCGACACCUUACACUGCAACAAAAGAUGAUAAGAAAAGGAAUUGUUAGGGGGGUUAGAACCAGCUUGUGUCUGAAAAUAAUGCCAUUUCACACAAUCCAGAGUUGCCAAUACGCUGCAAGACGAAGCAUAAUCUUAACUCUAGAAAGUUGAGAUCCAGUUCUCCCAAUGUCAAGGUUAAAAGAAUCCUGAAAGCUAAUAUAGGGAUCAUAUCCCACCCCAAGGCAACCCGACAAACACACCAAAUGAAUGUGUCUAUAGGGCAAGUAAAUGAAAUGUGAUUUGCAUCCUCUAACUGGUCACAGAGUUGACAAAAUUUAGAUCUCACCCAAUUUCUUCUCUUCAGUUGACUUGUAGACUGAAUUAUGUUUUUGCAAGCCAAUCAGGGAAAGUGUUUAUGUUUCAAAGGUAUGGGUGCACCCCAAAUAUCUUUCAUUCUCAGGUCUAGAACUCGUCUAAAGGUCAGGGCUCUAUAGACUGACUUUUGGUAGUACAAUUCCUGUUUUUCUCUGAAAGCCACAGGUUAGCUUAUCAGGAUUUGCUUGCAAAGCUACAUUUUGCAGCAAUCCUUCUAGCUCUUCCCAAGAAGUUAACUCAGCGGUCCCAAAAGACCUCGUGAACGUUAAAAUCCAUAUUUGGAUGGAAUUAUGACGAAGGUGUCUCUCUUUUUUGCCAAUGAUUGUCCACCUAUCCCUUUAUUUGCAACAUCUAUAAUGGCAUAAGACAUAUAUAGUACAAUGUUUUGUUCUCUUCUAUUGCUGUUCUGUUGGCUUUGUGUUCUCUUCUACCUCAUCAUGCCUGCCUGCCUGCUGAAUUUUCUUCGUUGGAGUCUUCGUCUUUCCUGGAUGCAUGCAUAUCCACGGCUGGAAAAUGUGUGGAAUGGUAGAAUGAUUGGUCUUUUUCUAGGUAAAAUCAAUUCAAAGUCUUUUCAGUAACUGUUCACCAUUGACAAACUGCGGUAAAUGUUUGUUCUUGCCGGGCCUUUGUUGAUGGGCGACACCUCGAGGCCCAGCGACUU
rnacentral:lncRNA from 1 species